rnacentral:lncRNA from 1 species
UGGUAGGGCUGAUAGGUAUUCAACACUUUUAUACUUGCUAGUUUCUUCACAUUGGUGUAUGUCAUAUGACCAAAUGUAUAAGCUGGUCUAUUUUGUUGGUGGGCCAUAUAUAGCUCCUAAGUUUUGGAGAUUUCAGGAAAGUGAAGCUCAACUUUUUUUUUCCUUUUUUUUUUUUCUUUGUUGAAGCAUUCAGGCAAAACUAGACUGGUUUUGUUCUCUCUGCCACAGUGCUUGAGGAGUACAUCGAGUCACAUUUUUGUAAAUGCAAUCUGUAACAGUGACAUAUGCUUGUUCUGUAAAUUCCAGGCUCCGUGCCUUGAAGAUCACUUUUGAAUUAAAGUUAAAUCUGCUCUAUGUAUUUUGUUGAACAAUACUGCAUCAAGCAUAAGCAUUUGGACUCUAAUAAAAACUGUUCAGUCUUGUACUGCUUUUACCACGGAUUAUUUGAGCAUUCUACAAGCACUACAACAAAACUAAGUUUUAGUGGUGAUUAUUUUUUAAAAUCUCGGCAAUUAUAAUUGCCGCUAAAUAGUUUAGUGACAAUUGUAGUAAUUGCCGCUAAUGGUGGGGUCCGUAAAAAUUAUUAUGGCAUUUGUUUGGACGGUUUGUAAAAGCCUAAACAAAUGCCGCUAAAUCCUACCCAAUAACAACAAUUAUAAAUGUCAUCAUAAUUAAUUAUAAUUGCCACUAAAAGUAGACUAAAUAAUUAUUAAAUAAGACUUAUAGCGGCAAUUGCAAUAUAUAUUAAAACACUUGAUCCACAAUUAAAUAUUCCAAUAAAUUGAAAUUAGAAAACAUGCAUUACCAAAAAGCAAUCAUAAUUUGCGACAAAUCACAGUUUCAAUAUUAAAAAUAAAUUUCAUGCAUGAGUUUCAACUACAGAAUGCUUGUUUGAAUUCUAGCCAAACAAUAAAUUCUAAAUGAUGUUAAACAUCUAUUAUCGCGAAAAAAUUUCAAAUUCUAAGAGCUGUAGGUUUGACAUAGCUUUGGCUGUAGAUCUGACAUAGCAAAGCGAUAUCCUACAAAAAGUAAAACCGCUUUCAGUAAGCUGGCAAUACAGAUGAUGAGCUGAGGCAUUGAUAAUAUUUUUAUAACAAAUUUAUAGUGAAUCAAAAAUUUAUAGUGAAUAGGAACUAUACAGCUAAGUAAACAAAAUAUGGAACUUCUACACACAAUGUCAAAAGAGAACAAUGAAGUGAACAUGCAAAUGUGUCCCGUUAAAUGCAAUCACCUGAAUCUCAAGACGUUCCUCAAACCAAUCAUAUACUUUAUUGAGAUAGGUAAUCCAAAAGAACUCCCCCUCUGAGAACCGUAUAUGAGAAUUUCAUCUCGUACAGCUCAAGUGGAAACACGCAAAUACUGAUUUCAAAGAAUACAUAAUCUCAAAAUAAAUGUGGGGUACGCUUCAUGCAUGGGUUAUGUGGGGUAGGCUCUGUGCAACUGAUAAUUUAUGUAUUAUUUGAGCUUGCACAUGUAAUCGAGUGUAAGACUGCAUAAUCCUUUCGUUUACGCAACAAACGACAAGUCAUCCGAUCAACUAAACAUAAAAUUAAAUUACAAAAAUGUAGAUGAAAACCUAUCCUUAGAAUAAUGUUAUUCUUGUUAGUUUAAGAAAACUUACAACAAAAGAGCACAAGCAGCCUCUUUACACUCAGAAACUCGAGUGUUAUAACCCAGCUUCUUGGGUAGAUUGUGCUGAUGCCAACAAAAUUUUGAACGCUAGUUGUCCUCCCUCAGGUUGCCGGUUUUUAUUCAACUCUGAGAAGUAAACAUUGGAGAGCAUUAUAGUCUAUUCACACAAAACAAAAAUAUGAGUCAUAUGUUAAUCUAAUCAAUUAGCAACAAUAGAAACAGAAAAUUAACUAACACGGGGGAGGAAAAAAAAAUACUUAUGACCGAGAAGAGAAAUGAAAUAUAGUCUAAAGAAAUGAGUAGAGAAUGAAACAUUAGAGCACAUAUUUUGAGCACUUAAAUUAUUACCUUGCAAUCCAUAAAAGUAAGAUAACCAGACCGUGAGAGCAAAAUAGCUGAUGGAACCAGAAUACCAUUUCCAAGCCCCAAGUACUUAUUUUCGCUCAUCUUGAAAUAAUCAAAGUUGGCAAGGCCGAACAUUUUGGGGCCCUGACUAGCAAAUUAAAGAUAGCUUACUAGCACCCAAGAUGAAGCAAAAUGCGCCAAAUGUAGUAUCCUUGUUAUAUUUAUUAAGUAAUUAAUUUACUUAUUUAUUUUUAGGUCGGUUGGUGCUAAUUCAGGUGGCUUGGAUGCCACGUGCACCCAUGCAUGCUUAUCAACAAAUCAGGUAGGCAUUGCCUAAUUUUUUUUUACUUCUCUCUUUGUUCGACCGAAGCAAAGAGCUCGGUGGAGGUAGCCGCGAGCACGAGUUUGACGCCGACGACGCGUCGCGAAGCCAUUCGAGGGUACGGUUGGGAUCGUAGCGCUGCGAGGAAGCUAGGCGAGGGUGCAUUUUCGCCGUUCUCAACGCCGCGUCGAUGUCCGAUUAGCCUUUGAGGUGAGUGUUGUUAGAAAAUUGCAUACGGUAAAAACGCAGCGGAAAAAGAAAUCAAACAAAUUUAAUUUUUGAAAACUCUCGAGAUCCAAUCUCAAAAACCACGCAAUUAGGAUCCCUCAUGUUUUAAGAUUAAAGAAGAAAAACAAGAUCGAAUCUUUACCUUUUUCGCGGAUAGAUCUUCCCCUCAAUUUGAUGAUCGUGGAAUUCGGUUCUCUUGAAGCCGCACACGCGUCCGGCCUCUAUAGGUAUCCACACGAGGUUCUUGAUUUGAUCGAUGUCCUCACCGGGGUGCUAGCUCCCUUGCAAAAGGACGUCUUUCUUGUUAGAAGAUGGAAGAGAGAAGAGAAGAUAGAUGACGGCUAGGGUUUUCUAAAAACUCCCGUAUAUUAUAUAUAGGAAUAUAAUAACUAUCACUAGUUUUAUAUAGAGUGAUGGUCUAUCUUAUCUUGGAUACCCCAGUGUGUGUAUUCUCCAACACUAACUAGCCUAUCGAUCUAGCGCUAAUAACUUAGCGGCCUCCUGGAUUAACAGUUAUAUUACUAUUAACCUGAUUAAACAUUAACAAUGUUUAAUCACCAUAAUUUCACAUUUGUAAUGUCCUCUCCUGAAUGAUUAUCAAUCAUUUAAUAUUCUCCUGAAUACACGUUUACAACAUAAUAAUUAAACUAUUCUAGUUUAAUUAUAUUUUAAGUUCAGCUUAGUUUAAUCCUAAACUAGCUAGAUUGGUUAAUUCCUUUUCUAUUUAAAUUUAGAUCUAAAUAUGAAUAGGAAUUAACAGUAAUAUAAUAAUCCUUAUCUNNNNNNNNNNNNNNNNNNNNNNNNNNNNNNNNNNNNNNNNNNNNNNNNNNNNNNNNNNNNNNNNNNNNNNNNNNNNNNNNNNNNNNNNNNNNNNNNNNNNNNNNNNNNNAGUGAGUAGACAUCCAAGUGACUUCUCGCGUUGGUCACGCUCGGUACCCUUGUUCUCUAACAACCACCUGCAUAUUCGCUUCAGUGUCCCCACACUGUCGACUCGAAACUCGUCUACCCUGAAAGGGAAGCGACCUAUGCACCAAUCUCAUCGGAUCAAUCACCGUCCCCGUGAUGAUCCAUUGAUCGGGAGCAUUUAGGAAUUAAUCACCAAUGACACAUGUCUCAAAUUCUCAACACUUGAGAAUAUAUGUCAUCAUCUUAUUAAUUCCUUGGACGAUUCAUGGACACAUACACAACAUGAAUGGAAAUAAAAACCCAAAGUUAUUCAUAAUAUUUUAAAAUCAAAUACAAAAUUAUGUCCUAGAAAGAAUACAUGUGUCGGCCUGGUUGGCUUCUAGGGCAUACAUCUAACAUUCCGUUGCAUUGCUUCAAGUAUUGUCAUUUCGAGUUUGGUGCUGAUUUGCAGAAUUUCCAGCGUCGACCGUCGGUAUUUCAGUUCGUACUCGGCGUAGAAGCGUCGGUUUUCGACGGGACAUGGUUCGUUGGAUUCGGGACUUCGAGAGGAAUCCACGAAGCCCUUACUUGCUGGAUUUGGUAAAGGUUUGCUAGGUCGAAAUUUCGCUCCUCUCUGUUGCUGUUUUUGAGGCAGAAUUAAUAAUUAUUGUCGGAUUCUCCGUGUAGAGUUUGGCGGGAGCUUGACUUCAGGCCUUGGGAGGUUUUCGGACGUUUCGGCAGGUUGUUCCGCAGCCGAGGGGAGUUCCGUGCUGCCAGGGAUUAGCGAGCGAGGUGGGUUAAUCAUCGGUUUAUACUCCUAAGUGCUUAGUAGUCAACAUAUAUGAAUUUUAGAUUUUGUGUAGUUUACUUUUGCUCGAAUUCAUGGAUUAUUAUGUGAAUGGCUAAUCUGAAUUUGGAGCAUGUGAUAAUAAAUUAAAUAAAUAUACAUGUUGGACUUGGAACUUGAUUUAGGAGAAAACAAGCGUUUUGGGACCUGUCACCUGUUUAAAUUACCUGAUUUAGCCCUAGGGGCCGUUGUAUUAAUUUAUACUGUUGCAGUAUCCUCAAAGUAAGUAUUCCAGGUAGUUUAGUUUUCAGUUACGCUCGUGCUGGGAUGCCGAGUGUAUUUUUACUGUAGCGUUCAGGCUGUUCUUGAUUGUUGGGUGCCAUCAGGAUUGACGGUGGACCCGUAUCGCCUUUUUGGCGUUGGAUUGUGCCAAGGACACGAUACCUGUUGGUUGUUAGACCAGUUUGAGUCGGUUACUGGACUUUGGCUUUUGAGAGCCUGAUUGAGCUCGACAGAGAUACGCUGCAUACUCGGUUGGGUAGCUCCCACGAGUGCCACUCCGGAGACGGGCUUUGUGCUUUCGCGUUGGUGUCGCUCAUGCCGGUUGGACUUGCUCUCCACGGACCAGUUAGUGUGGAGGUAGCUGGAUAGUCGCAACUGGGCAGGGACGGGUGUAUUCACAGUCCCAGGGACGGGUAGGUUUACAGUCCCGAUUGGAUUGGGUCAGAUUUGACAUUUCCUACAGUUGGUUAGUGUAGAGCAUGAUAGUGUAGUGAUUGAUAGCGGUAGAGUUUAUUUCCUGCUUUUCUGACUAUUCUUGCUCCCUUCUGUAGACUUAGUGGGUGGACCGAUGUUGUUUUGGGCGGUACCCACUGAGGACUACUUGUUUUUACAGUAGUUCUCACGCCCUGUUGUUACCCCUGUUUUGCAGAGUCACAGGUUUCGGCUGCUGCACCUUCCGCGGAUCAGGAUCGAGGCAAGGGCGUCGCGAGUUAGAGCCCUACCCGCCGAGCAGAGCUAGAGGCACCCUACUGCAGGUAGUUGUUUUAUUUCGAGCUUAUGUACAUAGUACUUAACUCGCCAGUGCGAGUAACUCUGUAUUUUGAUUUUUGAACUAUGUAUAUGAAGCUCAGUUUGUUUAGCUUUUGUUUACUCUAGCAGCUCUAUACUACUGUUUGUAGUAUUGUAUGGUUUACAGGUACAGCUGUCGCUUCGUAUACAGAAAAAAUUUCUUUGUAUACGGCGGAUUUGUCGGCGUGCUCGGGGAACGUGUAAUCCGGGGCGUGACAGAUUAAGUUGGUAUCAGAGCUUUGCUGUAGGUCGUUGGGACCUAGAAAACCUAAGUUUGGCAAACUUUAGGAAAGUCAGACGCGAGAGGUGUAAUGUAAUUGCGAAAGUCAAUGAUUAUUUAUUCUAACUCCUCCUAGAGUGGAGUGAGUGACCGAAGGAGUUCCUGUUUUGGCCUGAGAAAUUAUGUUGGCUGCAGACGACAUAAUUUUGGAGGGAAACAGGGACCGCCUUCUAGACUUUCGUUGAUUGGGUCAAGAGUGUUUGUGUUUCAACUAACCCCGAUCUGUUCUUUUCAGCUAUGUAUCCUCGCCGAGGUCGACCGUCAUUGCGGGAGCAUGCUUAGUUGGCGCGGGAUCGUGCGGGACCUCCUGAGAGACCUGACCAGAUGGGGCAGAGUACUUGACAGGAGCAGGGUGACAGACCGGAGGCUAGCGCGCCCCCUGAUUUGCGUGCUCAGUUGGCUUCCCUGACAGAGGUGACGAGGUAGCAGGGGAAGUUGUUGCAGAGGUUGUGUGAGAGGGUGGCUCAGACAUCGAGUGCAGUACCGAGGGCAGCGGAGCAGAUUGUUCCGCCACCGACAACUCCAGUGGCCGCACCAGCCGUAGCUGUAUCUCCACCAGCGGAGAUUCCGGCCGUGCCAGUUGCGCCUGCUAGGGGGCCAGUACAGUUGACAGAUGCCGAGCAGGAGCGGUGUACGGAGAGGUUGGCUCGUUUUCGCCGUUUUGAUCCACCAAUUUUCGAUGGCAGUUGCACUGAGGUCUGGGUUGUUGAGGGAUGGGUCAGUGCGAUGGAGAAGCUAUUCGAGGAUCUUUUCAUUCCUGAGGGGGAGUAGGUGUCUUUGGGAGUCCAUUGUUUGGCAGGUGACGCCCACGCCUGGUGGCGGAGAGUGAGGAGAGAGCAGGGACUGGUAGCAUUGCAGCUGAGAUGGGAUGAGUUCUGUGGAAUGCUGUUUGGGAUGUUCUUUCCCAACAGUGUGAAGCAGAAGCUCGAGGAGGAUUUGAGGAGGCUUCAGUAGGGGGAUCGUCCAGUGCAGGAGUACAUUCGGGAGUUUACUCGACUCCUGAAUUGUGUGCCAUUUGUGGCCAGAGACGAGGCGCACAGGGUGUACAUGUUCGAGCGGGGGCUGAGACCAGACAUCUUCAGGUUGGCGCGGACGCAGAGGUCGAGGACCCUGGAUGCGUCCAUAGAGCAGGCCUUAUGGGUAGAGAGAGGUGAGGUGUCACUCCAGGAGAGGACUCAGGCCGUGGGGUAGGGUCAGGACAGGAAGCGCCCCUUUCCAGAUGACGGAGGGCAGUCGAGCAGCAGACGUCCGCCGAGACCUCCACGAUCACGUUCUCAGGGUCGUGGAUCUUCGGGGCGUCAGCGUUUCAGGGGAUCCCGUCAGUAGGGGCAAACUGAGAGGACUCCACAGUGUGUGAUCUGCGGGGGACCACACUGGCCCCGGCAGUGCGAGCAGAGAGAGGGCAGGUGCUACGGAUGUGGUCAGCCGGGACACAUGAGGGUAGCUUGUCCCCGAGUAGCAUCUCCAGCACCAUCAUCAGCUUCAGCCCCAUCAGCACCCCAGCAGUCUUACGGAGCAGCACCGAGUUACCGCCAGGAGUAUAGAUCGUCGACGCCUCGUCAGGGUGAGCGGCGACAGCAGGCUCCGAGUGGCAGAGUCUACGCAGCUCAGGUGGAGGACUCUACAGCAGCCGACCGAGUAGUGGCAGGUAUCACUUUGAUUUUCGGCAUUCGUACUCGUACUCUUGUUGAUACUGGAGCCUCGCAUUCUUUUGUUAGCCGAGCAUUUGUAUUGUUGCAUGGUCUAGAGUUAGGGGCAUUGUCACAGGCACGAGAGGUGCAGAUCCCGGACUAUGUUUUACAGGUUGCAGAGUGUUGUUGGUCGUGUCCGGUGCAGUUGGAUUCGUGGGUCAUGCCCGCAGACCUGUUGGUGCUAGGGCAGCUGCAGGACUUCGACGUUGUGCUCGGUAUGGAUUGGCUGGCGCGGUGCUAUGCUACUAUUGAUUGUGGAGCGAGGACAGUGACGUUCCGUGAGCCAGGCCAGGAGGAGUUCACUUUCAGAGGCUGCAGGAGCACGUUGUUUGCCACCUGGAUAUCUUCGGCGAGGGCUCGACAGCUGAUGAGUAGAGGAUGUGUGGCCUUUCUGGCGACUGUUGUUGAGGUACCUGUGGCGGCACCAGGACUCGAGGAUAUUCCUGUAGUCCGCGAGUUUCCGGAUAUGUUUUCUCAUGAGUUGACUUUGUUGCCGCCGGAGAGAGAGAUUGAGUUUGUGAUUAAUGUAGUUCCUGGAACUGCACCAAUCUCAAAGGUACCUUAUCGGAUGGCACCGGCUGAGCUGAGAGAGCUAAAGGCGCAGCUUCAAGAUCUGAUGGAUAAGGGGUAUGUGAGACCCAGUGUAUCACCUUGGGGAGCACCGGUGUUAUUUGUAAAGAAGAAAGAUGGUUCGCUCAGGUUAUGUGUUGAUUACCGGGAGCUGAAUAAAGUGACCAUCAAGAACAAGUACCUCUGCCGCGCAUUGAUGAUCUGUUCAAUCAGCUGCAAGGAUCUUGUGUCUUUUCGAAGAUUGAUCUCUAGUCAGGUUACCACCAGUUGAGGGUGAGGGCCGAGGAUGUUCCCAAGACGGCAUUUCGGACUCGGUACGAGCAUUAUGAGUUCACGGUGAUGCCUUUUGGAUUGACGAAUGCCCCUGCCGCAUUCAUGGAUUUGAUGAACAGAGUGUUAAAGCCGUUUUUGGAUAGAUUUGUUGUAGUCUUCAUCGACGACAUCUUGAUUUACUCCCGGAGUGAUGUUGAGCAUGAGGAGCACUUGAGGAUUGUGCUAUAGCUUCUGCGAGAGAAGAAGUUGUAUGCCAAGUUGAAGAAGUGCGAGUUCUGGCUACGGGAGGUUGCUUUCUUGGACCACGUGAUUUCAGCAGAGGGCGUAGCAGUGGACCCGAAGAAGAUUGAUACUAUUCGGGAUUGGCCUAGACCGACGAUGGUGACUGAGGUGCGGAGCUUUCUGGGACUGGCAGGGUAUUACCGUCGGUUUGUGGAAGGCUUUGCGAAGCUUUCCACACCCCUCACACGCUUGACGCGGAAGGGGAUUCGUUUUGUCUGGAGCGACGACUGUCAGAGGAGCUUUGACGAGUUUAGACUGAGGUUGACGUCAGCUCCUAUCCUUACCCUUCCGGUGAUGGGGGAUGGAUUAGUGAUCUACAUUGAUGCAUCGCACAGUGGACUUGGUUGCCUACUGAUGCAGCAUGGUGGGGUGAUUGCUUAUGCUUUACGACAGUUAAAGAAUUAUGAGAAGAAUUACCCUACGCAUGACUUGGAGCUUGCCGCGGUGGUUUUUGCUUUGAAGCUCUGGCGGCAUUACUUGUACGGCGAGCACUGUGAGGUCUUCACCGAUCAUAAAAGUCUCAAGUAUCUGUUCACACAGAGGGUGUUGAACCUGAGGCAGCGCCGAUGGUUGGAAUUACUGAAGGACUAUGACAUUAGUAUUCAGUAUCAUCCCGGCAGGGUGAAUGUUGUGGCAGAUGGUUGAGCAGGAAGUCAGUGUGUGACGCACUGGACCUUUGCAAAUUGCGAGGUUCGAGUGUUUGGGUAUACUUCGAGCUUUUCCACACUUGGUGGAGGAUUGUAGAAUGUUUUCCGACCUAAAAAGUUCGAAAAUCGGAAUUCUUGACAAGUCCUGAGAGUUUUCACUCUCGGGGACCGGUCCCUGGGAGGAGAGACCGGUCCCCCCAGUGAGCAGUGUUGAGGCAGCCUGAGGCAACCGGUCCCUGGCAGGCGAGACCGGUCCCCGAGCGCGUCUUCGCAGUGAGAGACCGGUCCCGCGCAGGGAGAGACCGGUUCCCGAACGCUGGUUUUUCGGGUUCGCAGCGAGAGACCGGUCCCUGCUGGGGAGAGACCGGUCCCUCUGGGCGAAAACUGUCCAGACCAGGCUGUUGCAAUAAUGAAUUUUUGAGGGGCCUCACUGGAUUUUGUUACAUUAGAUGGGCUUAUUAGCCAUUUCCUCCUCUUCCCUCUCUCAUUCUCUCAUUUUCACCCUCUCCCUACAUUUUCUAGAGACAGAAGAAGAAGAAGAAGGAGGAGAAGAAGAAGAGGAGCUAGUUUGAGGGAGCUUGGAGCUCAACCCCUUUCUCUCUUUCCCACCUUUGCAAGGCUUGGAGCUUGCUUGUAGAGCUUAGUGGUGGACCAAACUUCAACCCUAGGGCAUUUUGGGCUUGGAUUGAAGCUUCCAAAGGGUUAGUAUCAUGUUUCCCUCCUCUAGAUUCUUGUUUUUGUGAUUUUUGGGAGAUGAAACCCUAGAAAUGAGAUUUAGGGCUUAUUUUGGGCAUUUUUGAUCUAGGGCUUUUGGACCCAAAUCGAUUGGCUUAGAACCUUCCUAGGGCUUGGAUUGGAAGGGUUCUAGCUCUCUUUUGGAGCUUUGGGAGAGAUUUCUACUCUUGAGGUAAAUUUUGGCCCUUUUUGCUCCUAGGUUAAUGUUUGAUCUCUCGGAUGGUCGUAAUGCCCUCGUAUCUCUUCGCUGAUUACUUUUAGGGUAUUGUGAGACUCGUGGACAACUCCGUUCGGUGAUUCGAAGGAGCACGCGACGGUUCGGUGGGUUUGACCUAGCCUUCAUAUGAGAAAUACUCAUAUAUGAUGAAAUGGGUUUCGUAAAUUGAAAAAGCAUGCGUAAUCAUGUUAGAUAUAUUUAUUGUGAAUUUUAGGAUGUUUAAUAUGCCUAUGUUAUGUGUAAGGAAAUUUCGGACCCCUAUAUAGUAGAGAACUAGCAUGUGGUACUUGCACAUAUUUGGCAUCCUUUUUAGACUUGGAAUCAUAACUCCUAUUGUGAAAAUGAGCACCUCUUGCAUGCAUUUAGGGACUAUUCCUAUAUUGAACUUGAAGGUUCUUGGUAGGCCAUAAAGAGGCUCGGGGACUUGUGUUAUUGUGAAUAGUUGGGCUAAUGUCAUGAAGGGGCAUUGAGCUCGGGUCAUGUGUAAACCUAGUGGAUAGUGCCAUUGAAAGAGUUGGAUAUGCUUGUUCAUUAAAAUGUCUAAGUGUCAUAAAGGGGCACAAGACUUAGUAUAUUGGAACUUCAUAUUGUGAAUUAAACUAGAUCUUCGGGAUGCUAGUGACUAUACCAUGUUAGAGACAUGAGAUUGGAUACUUGAGACUUGGACUAUGCUUGCUUGCCAUUUGUGCUCAUUCGCACAUGCUUGUGAGGGUCGCUCCCUACAAGCCGGCACUCCGGAGUUAGCCUACGCGACUUUUGAUCGCUAGUGCGGUAUUGAGAAGCCUACGGGGUCGAGUGGGACAGACACAUUCCAAGAGUAGGAAUGUCGGGCUAUCACAGGCACUUAGGCGGCACAAGCUGGACUACCUUGGGUGGGUUCUUGAUUGGAAAUGGGAAUCGACACAGUGUUGAGAAUUAAUAAUCACUACUAGUUAGGUUUAGCAGUUGGAUUACUUUGACAUGCUCAUGAUAUAGCAUUGGUACAUGUAGCACACUUGCCGGUUUCUUUGUUGCAUUGUAGUAUACUCGGUUGCUUGGUUAGAGCUUACUCUUUAUGCAUUGGACAUAUUAUCUUAUGAUAGCGUAGAUGUACAUCACUAUGACAUCAUGUUUACUUGAGAUAUAACGGUUUAGCUCUUCAAUUAUGCUUUCGUAUUGUUGUUGCUAUUACUCUUAUUAUUGCUUAUAGUACUUACCCUUUUCUUUUGGGGCCUAGUGGUGCAUAGAGCUGAGGUCAGUAAUUGCCCACUGGGAACUAUAAAAUUAUAGUUCUCAUGCCCUCUUUUUCUCGAUGUUUUUCAAAGCCUUCCACUCAGGGUGAGGCCAGGGAUCGCGGGAAGGGAGUUGCUUCGAGCUAGCUUCCUACGAGGACGACUCGCUAGGUGGUCUACCUCUCGUUGUACUUUAUUUUGGAGAGGUUGAGAGUUUUACCAGUGUACUAGAGACCACCGUUUUUGUAUUAGAGGCUGAUAUUGUAUAACUUACGUUUACUCUUAUGUAUUAGUUAUGUUCUACUACUAUUAGUAUAGAUGUUAGAACCUUACUCGCUCUGAUAUCAUUAGUUGCUUGUUAUUUCACUUCUUCUACUUGUCUUACUACUUGCUUUUACUUCCGCUUUCAUUCUAGACGCCUUAUAUGUGUAGACAUAUGGCGGGUCUGGGCACGCUACCGGGAGGGCCUCCGCCGGUCCCGGGGCGUGACAGAUUAAUUUGGUAUCAGAGCCUAGGGUUGAGUCUUAGUGGACCUAGCGAACCUUAGGCCGGUUGGACUAUAGGAAUUAGGCUCGUGAGAGACGAGGUCUAAUUGACUUGUGAGCGAAAGUAUUAUGAUUGGGUUUAUGACAACUCUAAAAAGUUAGAGUUUGAUCGGAGUGUAUGGCUUCUAACUUCGCGGAGGGUUACGUUGGCGGCCGACAACGUAACAUCGGGAGUUAGUAGUGAAGGACACUUCCUUACUUUCGCAUGAUUUGGGAUUUUAUCUACUUGAGCGGGGAUGCGAUAGCGUGGGUUACUAACUUGCGCUUUUAUGUUCUGUAGUGACGAUGCCGAUUACUCGCUCCCAGUCUGCCGGGGCGGAUGAUGCGGCACACCCCGAGGAGGUCGAGACCUCCGCUACUUCCGGAUCUAGUGAGGUCCGUGACUUGAGGGCCCAGCUUGCGGUUCUCACUGACCUGUUGGCGCAGCAGACGGCAGCGGCGCAUCGACAGGCUGAGGUAGCUCAGCGGCAGGAGGCGCGGAUGAAGCAUCUUGAGGACCUCCUACUUCAGCAGGCGGCAGCAUCGAGGGAGACCCAGGGCCCUACACCGCAAGCACCCGUGGUGGACGUCGCACCGAGGGCGCAGUCCCCCGCGCCCAGCUCUUCACGUGCGGCACCGGCGACCGCACCUCAGGAGGAGGUGGUUGCGGCACUACCUGUUCAGAGACCGGCGACCGGGGCAGCAUUCCCCGUGAUGGCCGAAGGAGCCGAGCGGGAUCGACUCAUGGAGCGCCUCAGUGAGUUCAGGAGGUGCAGCCCGAGGAUGUUUGAUGGCGAGAAUAUCGACCACUGGAUCGUUGAGAAGUGGUUGAUGCACAUGGAGAAACUAUUUCGAGAUACCUUCGUUGAGGAGAGGGACAGGGUUUGGCUCGCCACUCACUUUCUUGACGGCGAGGCCUACCGUUGGUGGUUGGACAUCCAGGACAAUCCCAGCACUGACUUGACAGCGAUCACAUGGACGCGAUUCAAGGAGUUUCUUCUGGCGCACUACUUUCCUACUAGCGUCAAGAGGAAGAUGGAGCAGGACUUGCGUAGCUUGCGCCAGGAUGAGCGGUCCGUGGCCGAGUACGAGAGGGAGUUUUCUCGAUUACUCCAUUGUGUACCGUUUGUUGUGAGGGACGACGAGGACGAGGCCCGCAUCUUUGAGCGCGGUUUGCGGCCUUCUAUCUUCCGGUUGGUGCAGUCUUCCAACCUCCAGACCUACCGGGAGGUUGUGGAUCGAGCUUUGAUAGUGGAGGCAGGAGCGGCGGAUCUGCAGGAGCGUCGCGAGAGCUUGGAGAAAGGGAAGGGGAAGAGACCCGCGGCUGAGGGUGCGAGUCAGACGCACUCACGGAGGCCGCCGAGGCAUCCCAGGAGCAGGAGCCAGUCGCGAGGACGCGGCCAGUCUACCCAGCGAGGAGGACCCGAUCGUCGCCAGGCUCCCCGCUGCGUGAUCUGUGGCGGCCCUCAUUACCCACGACAGUGUACACGCAGCCGGGGCAGGUGCUUCUUGUGUGGCCAGGAGGGCCACUUCCAGUCGGACUGCCCGAGGAGUCCAUUGCCAGCGCCAUCUGCGGCAUCUGCACCAGCAUCGCCAGGUCCCAGCCAGGGGACAUCUUCUGCGCAUCACCAGGCAGGACGGCCGCCAGUUCUGCGACAGGCGGAGGGGUCACGACAGGCCCCGAGCGGGCGCAUGUAUGCGGCCCAGACUGAGGAGGCGGCAGCAGCCGAGAAUGUGGUCGCAGGUAUCAUUUUACUUUAUGGUAUUCGAGCUAGAGCUUUGUUUGAUACCGGUGCAUCGCACUCAUUUAUAGACCGGCUGUUUGCCGAGUUUCAUGGCAUCCCAUUUGUAUCUUUGUUACAUCCCGGCCGAGUCGUAGUACCCGAUUACUCUUUAGACAUUCGGGAGUUUUUCCCCAGUUGCCCUGUUAGGAUUGGAGAUUGAAUCAUGCCCGUGGACUUGCUAGCUUUGCACAAACUCGGGGAGUUUGAUGUUGUGUUGGGCAUGGAUUGGCUGACCAAGUACUUUGCCACCAUCGAUUGUAAGAAUCGAACGGUGACAUUUAGAGAGCCGGGGCAGGCGGAGGUUGUGUACCGAGGAUGCCAGAGUUCGCUGUUUGCGAUGACGAUUAGCUCCUCCCGAGCUAGGCAGUUGAUUAGUAGAGGCUGCGUAGCCUACUUGGCUACUGUUGUGUUGCGGGGAGAGGAUGACGCCCCUAGGAUUGAGGAUAUUCCCGUAGUACGGGAGUUUGGAGAUGUGUUUCCAGCGGAGCUACCAGGCAUGCCUCCUGAUAGGGAGAUUGAGUUUGUGGUAGAUCUCGUCCCCGGGACUACCCCGAUCUCAAAGGCACCCUAUAGAAUGGCACCAGCAGAGUUGAGGGAGCUGAAGGCACAGUUGCAGGACCUCCUGGAUAAGGGUUUUGUACGACCGAGUGUGUCACCUUGGGGGGCACCGGUUUUGUUUGUGAAGAAGAAGGAUGGAUCACUUCGCUUGUGCGUGGACUAUCGUGAACUUAACAAAGUCACGAUCAAGAACAAGUAUCCAUUACCGAGGAUUGAUGAUCUAUUUGAUUAGCUCCAGGGAUCUUGUGUAUAUUCCAAGAUUGACUUGCAGUCGGGAUAUCACCAGUUGAGGAUCAGACCUGAGGAUGUGUCGAAGACGGCUUUUAGAACACGGUAUGGACACUAUGAGUUUACCGUUAUGCCGUUUGGGCUUACUAAUGCCCCGGCAGCUUUUAUGGAUCUGAUGAACCGUGUUUUCAAGCCUUAUUUAGACAGAUUUGUCGUGGUGUUCAUCGACGACAUCUUAGUGUAUUCCCGGAGUGACUCGGAUCACGAGGAACACUUGAGACUUGUACUUCAAGUGCUUCGGGAAAAGAAGCUCUAUGCCAAGUUGAAAAAGUGUGAAUUUUGGCUUAGAGAGGUGGCGUUUUUGGGCCAUGUGAUUUCAGGAUCAGGCAUAGCCGUGGACCCGAGGAAAAUUGAAGCUAUCAAGGAUUGGCCGAGGCCGACGAGUGUGACCGAGAUACGGAGCUUCAUUGGUUUGGCCGGCUACUACCGACGGUUUGUCGAGGGAUUUGCGAAGUUAUCUACUCCCCUCACGAGACUCACGCAUAAGGGUACAAAGUUCAUUUGGAAUGAUGCGUGUGAAAGGAGCUUCCAAGAGUUGAAGCAGCGAUUGACGACCGCCCCGAUCCUAACCUUGCCGACCGCUGGAGCAGGGUAUGUGAUUUAUAGUGAUGCUUCCUUCAAUGGAUUGGGCUGUGUUUUGAUGCAGGACGGGAAGGUGAUCGUGUAUGCAUCUCGCCAAUUGAAGGAAUAUGAAAGAAACUAUCCUACCCAUGAUUUGGAGUUGGCGGCCGUAGUCUUUGCCUUGAAACUAUGGCGCCACUACUUAUACGGCGAGCGAUGUGAAUUAUAUACGGAUCACAAAAGCUUAAAGUAUCUAUUCACUCAGAAGGAGUUGAACUUGAGGCAGCACAGAUGGUUGGAGCUACUCAAGGAUUAUGAUUUGACGAUACUUUACCACCCGGGCAAGGCUAACGUGGUGGCGGAUGCGCUAAGUCGGAAAUCGACUAAGAACUUAGCGAUGCUUAUGGUUACUCAACCGCCGUUGAUUGAGUAGAUGAAGCGGUUGGAGUUGGAGGUGGUGGCUCCUGAUACACCUUUGAGACUGACGACUUUGGUGGUGCAACCUACACUUUUGGAUAGGAUUAAAGAAAAGCAAGCUUCCGACUCUAGAGUUGCAAAAGGUUCGAACUAAGAUGGUUGAUGGUCAGUCAGAGCGGACCAUACAGACUCUAGAGGACAUGCUGAGGGCAUGCGUCCUGGAUUUUGGAGGAGGGUGGUAUCGACAUGUGAGACUGGUUGAGUUUGCGUACAACAACAGCUAUCAAACGAGCAUUCAGAUGGCUCCGUUUGAGGCGUUGUAUGGACGCAGAUGUCGAUCCCCCCUGUUUUGGAGCAAUGUGGGUGAGCGGAGGACACUUGGACCGGAGAUUCUACUUGAGGCUGAGGAGAAGGUGAGAGUUGUUCGACGACACUUUCUGACAACCCAGAGCCGACAGAGGAGCUACGCCGAUACCAGGAGAUGAGACUUGGAGUUCCAGGUUGGAGAUCAUGUAUUCCUUAAAGUCUCGCCGUCCAGAGGGAUUCGCCGAUUUGCAGUACGGGGAAAGCUCAGUCCACGGUUUGUUGGCCCUUUCGAGGUAUUGGAGCGAGUGGGACCAGUAGCAUACAGGAUCGCUCUACCCCCGCGACUAGCUGGCAUUCACGAUGUCUUCCACGUCUCAGCAUUGAGGAGAUAUGUUUUCGAUCCCUCUCACGUGAUUGACUUCACUCCACUAGAUAUUGGCGAGGAUCUGAGAUACGAGGAGCGACCAUUGCGGAUUUUUGCUUAGGAGACGAAAGAAUUGCGCAAUCGGGUCAUCCCGUAUGUGAAAGUGCAGUGGAGCAAUCACGAGGAGCGGGAGGCGACUUGGGAGCUUGAGACGGUGAUGAGAGAGUCCUACCCCGAUCUGUUCGUAACUCCGUGUUGAGGUAUGUUUAAGUUUCGAGGACGAAACUUUUUGUAGUGGGGGAGGAUGUAGUAUCCUUGUUAUAUUUAUUAAGUAAUUAAUUUACUUAUUUAUUUUUAGGUCGGUUGGUGCUAAUUGAGGUGGCUUGGAUGCCACGUGCACCCAUGCAUGCUUAUCAUCAAAUCAGGUGGGCAUUGCCUAAUUUUUUUUACUUCUCUCUUUGUUCGACCGAAGCAAAGAGCUCGGUGGAGGUAGCCGCGAGCACGAGUUCGACGCCGACGACGCGUCGCGAAGCCAUUCGAGGGUACGGUUGGGAUCGUAGCGCUGCGAGGAAGCUAGGCGAGGGUGCGUUUUCGCCGUUCUCGACGCCGCGUCGAUGUCCGAUUAGCCUUUGAGGUGAGUGUUCCGUUGCAUUGCUUCAAGUAUUGUCAUUUCGAGCUUGGUGCUGAUUUGCAGAAUUUCCAGCGUCGACCGUUGGUAUUUCAGUUCGUACUCGGCGUAGGAGCGUCGAUUUUCGACGGGACUUGGUUCGUUGAAUUCGGGACUUCGAGAGAAAUCCACGAAGCCCUUACUUACUGGAUUUGGUAAAGGUUUGCUAGGUCGGAAUUUCGCUCCUCUCUAUUGCUGUUUUUGAGGUAGAAUUAAUGUUUAUUGUCGGAUUCUCCGUGUAGAGUUUGGCGGGAGCUUGACUUCGGGCCUUGGGAGGUUUUCGGACGUUUCGGCAGGUUGUUCCGCAGCCGAGGGGAGUUCCGUGCUGCAAGGGAUUAGCGAGCGAGGUGGGUUAAUCAUCGGUUUAUACUCCUAAGUGCUUAGUAGUCAACAUGUAUGAAUUUUAGAUUUUGUGCAGUUUACUUUAGCUCGAAUUCAUGGAUUAUUAUGUGAAUGGCUAAUCUGAAUUUGGAGCAUGUGAUAAUAAAUUAAAUAAAUAUACAUGUUGGACUUGGAACUUGACUUAGGAGAAAACAAGCGUUUUGGGACCUGUCACCUGUUUAAAUUACCUGAUUUAGCCCUAGGGGCCGUUGUAUUAAUUUAUACUGUUGCAGUAUCCGCAAAGUAAGUAUUCCAGGUAGUUUAGUUUUCAGUUACGCUCGUGCUGGAAUGCCGAGUGUUUUUUACUGUAGCGUUCAGGCUGUUCCGGAUUGUUGGGUGCCGUCGGGAUUGACGGUGGACCUGUAUCGCCUUUUUGGCGUUGGAUUGUGUCGAGGACACGACACCUGUUGGUUGUUAGACCAGUUUUAGUCGGUUACUGGACUUUGGCUUUUGAGAGCCUGAUUGAGCUCGACAGAGAUACGCUGCAUACUCGGUUGGGUAGCUCCCACGAGUGCCACUCCGGAGACGGGCUUUGUGCUUUCGCGUUGGUGUCGCUCAUGUCGGUUGGACUUGCUCUCCACGGACCAGUUAGUGUGGAGGUAGCUGGACAGUCACAACUGGGCAAGGACGGGUGUAUUCACAGUCCCAGGGACGGGUAGGUUUACAGUCCCGAUUGGAUUGGGUCAGAUUUGACAUUUCCUACAGUUGAUUAGUGUAGAGCAUGAUAGUGUAGUGAUUUAUAGCGGUAGAGUUAUUUCCUACUUUUUUCCUACUACCUUUGCUCCCUACUGUAGACUUAGUGCGUGGACCGAUAUUGUUUUGGGCGGCACCCAUUGAGGACUAUUUGUUUUUACAGUAGUUCUUACGCCCUGUUGUUACCCCUGUUUUGCAGAGCCACAGGUUUCGGCUGCUGCGCCUUCCGCGGAUCAGGAUCGAGGCAAGGGCGUCGCGAGUUAGAGCCCUACCCGCCGAGCAGAGCUAGAGGCACCCUACUGCAGGUAGUUGUUUUAUUUCGAGCUUAUGUACAUAGUACUUAACUCGCCAGUGCGAGUAACUCUGUAUUUUGAUUUUUGAACUAUGUAUAUGAAGCUCAGUUUGUUUAGCUUUUGUUUACUCUAGCAGCUCUAUACUACUGUUUGUAGUAUUGUAUGGUUUACAGGUACAGCUGUCACUUCGUAUACAGGAAAAAUUUCUUUGUAUAUGGCGGAUUUGUCGGCGUGCCCGGGGAACGUGUAAUCCGGGGCGUGACACCAAAUCCAAGAACACCCAACAAAUGAGCCACCUGAAAAUUUGAAUCACAUCAUCGAAAAGAAACUCGGUUUAGUGCAAAAUCAAAUAAUUUGACAACCAAAUUCAUUUGUUGAUGGAGAAAUUAUUUUAAAACUCAAAAUUAACAAAUUGAUAUGUAACCAUAUAUCCAAAAUGCCCAUAGCCAUGUCAUUAAUAUUACUCAAAAGAUAUGACUCAAAAAUUAUCUUAGCACCUUUCCGAAGGAUACGAGACAUGUGGUAAAUGCUAAUUUUUCACAAAUAAUGGCAUGAAUUUACAACUAGCUUUGAUACAUGUUACGUAACAACAAAAUAAGACCAUUAAUUUCUGGACUUCUGCAACAACAAAAAACCUGGCAACAAACUAAAAAUUACUAUAACAAGGUAAUCAAUAAAAACAAGAUGUUGAGAGGAAUAGUCCUAACUAAAUCCUAUAACAAUUAGAUCCUAUUAAGAGAUUUAAAAAGAAGGCUAGUACACAUGAACCACUAAUUGGCUGAUACUAGUUCAAUUCAAGAUGAGAGCUCCACCAUACAUGACUGUUUUACAAAGAGAAAAAGAGAUUAAUCUAAGCGAUAAUACAUCUAACUUAAUUCGAAGCCAGAGAAGCUGUAGCGAAGGUCAUGCAUUUAUCAAUGCCAAAUUCUUCUGUGAAACGAAGCAAUCAGAAUGAUACAAGCCAAGUAAGCACAAUGCAACUUGCCUAAAGGAGACAAUAUUUUAACAAAAUUAUGGUAGACCACUAUUACAGUUGUUAACAUCACUAAAGAAGCUGAAGAGCAUAAAACUGUCUCUGUUAGUACAUCGUACUUCAGCCUUCUCCAAGUAUCAACAAAAGUCAGCACACAUGUAGAGGAAAUAAGUACUUUGACAUAUUUUCACAAGAAUAUUAUUUGAUCUUUACCUUAUUGGCCCCUGCUGGAUCAGAAGACAAGUCCUUAGGCACUAUCGAAUUGGGGACCUCAAGAUCAUCAUCCUCUGUUAAGGAUUUGUAUGAUCCUUUGCAUUAUUGUUUGCUUUUGUUUAAGUAAAUUCAAUUCUCUCGCACUUAACCAUCUGGGAUGAUAAUUAGGGACCAUGAUAGCAACUAGUUGUUGAAUAUUUUGUGUAGAUGGUGAUGCACAAAAUCCACUAUUCUGUCCAUUUGCACCUGAGUAACCUUUAUGUGCCAAAAGAUCUUCAUCGUUGAUCACAUCAUUCACAUCCAUAAACUGGUCACAAACAUCUAAUCCUGCACUAGAAUAUUCUUGUAAAUAUGAAAUAAGAUUCUCAAGAUAUGGACGAGAGAUUACAAUAAGAAGGAAAAGCAAAAUGCCACUAUAAAGUUAAUCUGCAAGACACAAGGGAAAAUACCUGUAACAGACCAAAAUCGUUUAUUCAAAAAAAUGUGUAACUAUGUCUUUUCGAAGAUUGAUCUCCAGUCAGGUUACCACCAGCUGAGGGUAAGGGCCGAGGAGGUUCCCAAGACGGCUUUUCGGACUCGGUACGGGCAUUAUGAGUUUAUGGUGAUGCCUUUUGGAUUGACGAAUGCCCCUGCCGCAUUCAUGGAUUUGAUGAACAGAGUGUUCAAACCGUUCUUGGACAGGUUUGUGGUAGUCUUCAUCGACGAUAUCCUGAUUUACUCCCGGAGCGAUGCUGAGCAUUAGGAGCACUUGAGAAUUGUGCUACAGCUUCUGCGACAGAAGAAGUUGUAUGCCAAGUUGAAGAAAUGCGAGUUCUGGUUACGAGAGGUUGCUUUCUUGGGCCACGUGAUAUCAGCAGAGGGAGUAGCAGUGGACCUGAAGAAGAUUGAUGCUAUUCGGGGUUGGCCCAGACCGACGACGGUGACAGAGGUGAGGAGUUUUCUUGGAUUAGCAGGAUAUUACCGUCGGUUUGUGGAAAGCUUUGCGAAGCUUUCAACACCCCUCACUCGAUUGACGCGGAAGGGGAUUAGAUUCAUCUGGAGUGAGGAUUGUUAGAGGAGCUUUAAUGAGUUGAGACAGAGGUUGACGUCAGCUCCUAUCCUUGCCCUUCUUGUGAUGGGGGGAAGGAUUUGUGAUCUAUAGUGAUGCAUUGCACAGUGGACUGGGGUGUGUGUUGGUGCAGCAUGGUAGGGUAAUUGUUUAUGCUUCACGGCAAUUAAAGGAUUAUGAGAAGAAUUACCCUACGCAUGACUUGGAGCUUGCCGCGGUAGUCUUUGCUUUGAAGCUAUGGCGACAUUACUUGUACGGCGAGCACUGCGAGAUUUUCACGGAUCAUAAAAGUCUCAAGUAUCUGUUCACACAGAAGUAGCUGAACCUCAGGCAACGCCGGUGGUUAGAGUUACUGAAGGACUAUGACAUUAGUAUUCAGUAUCAUCCUGGUAGGGCGAAUGUAGUGGCAGAUGCGUUGAGCAGGAAGUUAGUGCAGAGCCUGAGUUUGAUGAUCACUGAGCAGAGGCCAUUACUCAGGAGUUCCAGUGGCUGAGGCUUGAGAUAGUGUCCCCUUGGUAUACUGCGAGACUGAUGUCUCUGGUCUUGCAGCCCACUCUGUUGGAUAGGAUCCGAGAGAAACAGAGUGGAGAUCCGUACUUGUCGAGGAUUCGAAAGCAGCUACAUAGGGGACAGGCUGAGGGUUUUACUGUGGACAGUUCGGGAGUACUACAGUACAGGGACCGACUGUGUGUGCCGGUGGAUUCAGGGAUCCGAGAGGACAUCUUGAGUGAGGCUCAUUGUUCUCCUUAUACGGUUCACCCUGGGGGAACCAAGAUGUAUAAGGACUUAAAGGAACAGUUUUGGUGGAAUGGAAUGAAGAGAGACAUUGGCAGAUAUGUGGCUCAGUGUUUGACUUGCCAACAGGUGAAGGCCGAGCAUCAGGUACUUGCUGGCAAGCUUCAGAGUCUGCCAGUGCCCGAGUGGAAGUGGGAGCAGAUUACGAUGGACUUUGUCGUGGGAUUGCCUAGAGCGCAGCUAUACCUGGAUGAGAUCGUCAGGUUGCACGGCGUGUCAAUAUCGAUUGUAUCAGAUCGAGACCCGAGGUUUGUGUCGCAUUUGUGGAGGAGUUUACAAGCAACUUUGGGGACUCAGUUACAUUUCAGCACUACUUUUCACCCACAGACAGAUGGUCAGGUAGAGCGGACCAUUCAGACUCUAGAGGACAUGCUGAGGGCAUGUGUCCUGGAUUUUGGAGGAGGGUGGUAUCGACAUUUGAGACUGGUUGAGUUUGCGUACAACAACAGCUAUCAAACGAGCAUCCAGAUGGCUUCGUUUGAGGCGUUGUGUGGACGCAGAUGUUGAUCCCCUUUGUUUUGGAGCAAUAUGGGUGAGAGGAGGACAUUGGGGCCUGAGAUUUUGCUGGAGGCUGAGGAAAAGGUGAGAGUCGUUCGACGACACCUUUUGACAGCUCAGAGCCGCCAGAGGAGCUAUGCCGAUACCAGGAGACGAGACUUAGAGUUUCAGGUUGGAGAUUAUGUUUUUCUCAAAGUCUCGCCGUCCAGAGGGAUUCGCCGAUUUGGAAUACGUGGAAAGCUCAGUCUACGAUUUGUUGGCCCUUUCGAGGUAUUGGAGCGAGUUGGACCAGUAGCCUACAGGAUUGCUCUACCACCCCGACUUGCUGGGAUUCAUGAUGUGUUCCACGUCUCGGCGUUGAGGAGAUAUGUUUUCGAUCCCUCUCACCUGAUUGACUUCACUCCACUAGAGAUUGGCGAGGAUCUGAGAUACGAGGAGCGACCAUUGCGGAUUCUUGCUCAGGAGACGAAAGAAUUGCGCAAUCGGGUCAUCCCGUAUGUGAAAGUGCAGUAGAGCAAACACGAGGAGCGGGAGGCGACUUGGGAGCCUGAGACGGUGAUGAGAGAGUCCUACCCCGACCUGUUCAUUACUCCGUGUUGAGGUAUGUUUAAGUUUCGAGGACGAAACUUUUUGUAGUGGGGGAGGAUGUAGUAUCCUUAUUUUAUUUAUUAAUUAAUUAAUGUACUUAAUUAUUUUAUGUCGGUUGGUGCAUGCAAAUUAAGGUGGCUUGGAUGCCACGUGCACCCAUGCAUGCUUAUCAACAAAUUAGGUGGGCAUUGCCUAAUUUGUUUACUUCUCUCUUUGUUCGACCGAAGCAAAGAGCUCGGUGGAGGUAGCCGCGAGCACGAGUUCGACGCCGACGACGCGCCGCGAAUCCGUUCGAGGGUACGGUUGGAAUCGUAGCGCUGCGAGGAAGCUAGGCGAGGGUGUGUUUUCGCCGUUCUCGACGCCGCGUCGAUGUCUGAUUAGCCUUUGAGGUGAGUGUUCCGUUGCAUUGCUUCAAGUAUUAUCAUUUCGAGCUUGGUGCUGAUUUGCAGAAUUUCCAGCGUUGACCGUCGGUAUUUCAGUUCGUGCUCGGCGUAGGAGCGUUGGGUUUUGACGGGACUUGGUUCGUUGGAUUCGGGACUUCGAGAGGAAUCCACAAAGCCCUUACUUGCUGGAUUUGGUAAAGGUUUGCUAGGUCGGAAUUUAACUCUUCUCUGUUGCUGUUUUUGGAGGCAGAAUUAAUAUUUAUUGUCGGAUUCUCCGUGUAGAGUUUAGCGGGAGCUUGACUUCGGGCCUUGGGAGGUUUUCAGACGUUUCGGCAGGUUGUUCCGCAGCCGAGGGGAGUUCCGUCUGCCAGGGAUUAGCGAUCGAGGUGGGUUACGUCGGUUUAUUCCUAAGUAUUAUAGUAGUCGACAUGUAUGCUUUCCUAUUUUUGUAAAUAAUGUGGUAGCUCAAUUUCGUCGAUUGUAUAAUGAAUGAAAUUAGCUUGAGGGCAUUACUUGUAACUAUAAAUAUACAUGUUGGACUUAGAAUUAAACUUAGGAGACAACCAGCGUUCGGGACCUGGCAUAUGUUAAACUACCUGAUUUAGCCUUGGGGCCGUUGUAUUAUUUUAUAUUGUUGCAGUAUUCUCAUAGUAAGUAUUCCAGAUAGUUUAGUUUUUAGUUACGCUUGUGCUGGGAUGCCGAGUGUAUUUUUACAGUAGCGUUCAGGCUGUUCCGGACUGUUGGGUGCCGUCGGAGUUGACGGUGUACUCGUAUCGCCUUUUUGGCGUUAGAUUGUGCCGAGGGCACGUUACCUGUUGGUUGUUAGACUAGUUAGAGUCGGUUACUUGACUUAGCCUGUGAGAGCGGUAUGAACAUGACAGAGAUACUUGUAAAUUCGUUGGGUCGCGCCCACGAAUGCUAUUCUGGAAUGAGGUUUCAGUGCGAUGAGUGUCGCAGUUUCUGUUGGAUAGUUCUUGAGCCGGCUACCCUCGGGGUGGUGUACGGCGUAGCUAGAUACAGGCAGGGUGGGUCCGUUUUGGGCAGCACGGGUGAGAUAGUGAGUGACGCUUUUCCCUACCUUUGGUGAGGUUGUGACGUGAGUGGAGUCUUAGCCGUCCUGUUGGACCUUUUCUGGAACCGACUACUCUUGUGAUAUGGUGUAGUCUAAUUAGGCGAGACGGGUGUAUUCACAGUCUUUACAGAGUUUUCUCCGCCGGUUACUCUUGAGAUACGGUGUAGUCUAGUAGACGAGACGGGUGUAUUCACAAUCUCUAGAGAGUCUUCUCCGCCGGUUACUCUCGAGCUAUGGUGUCACCUAAUUAGACGGGAUGGGUGUAUUCACAGUCCCUAGAGAGUUUUCUCCACCAGCUACUCCUGGAGUAGGUUACGGGUUCGAUCCGACAGGCGGGACGGGUGUGUUCACAGUCCCUAGUGAGAUUGAGUUAGUUGUGACUUUUACUACAGUUGGUUAGUGUAGAUCAUGCUAGUGUAGCGAUAUGUAGCGGUAGAUUUCUUUCCAGCUUUUCCUGCUAGCCUUGUUACCUUCUGUAGACUUAGUGGGUGGAUCGAUGAUUGUUGAGGGCGGUACCCACUGAGGACUACUUGUUUCUACAGUAGUUCUCACGCCCAGUUGUUACUCCGUUUUUGCAGAGUCUUCGUCUUCGGCUGCUGCUGUUGUUGGUCAGGAGCUAGGCAAGGGCGUCACGAGUUAGAGCCCUACCCGAGGAGCAGAGCUAGAGGCACCCCUACUGCAGGUAGAUGUUUUGGUUUGGGUUCAUGUACAUACAGACUUUUAACUCGCCAGCGCGAGUAGCUUUGUACUCUGGGAUUCAGUGUAUGUAUAUGGAACUCGGUUUCUUUUACUUUACUAGUUCUUCUAGCAGCUCUAUACUACUGUUUGUAGUAUUGUUGUUUUACAGGUACAGCUGUCGCUUCGUAUACAGGGGAAAUUCCUUUGCAUACGGCGGAUUUGUCGGCGUGCCCGGGGAACGUGUAAUCCGUGGCGUGACACUUCUAGUUCUUCGAUUGCUGUCGGGGAUACCGAGGAGGUUUCUUAGCAUUUGGCCGGCCCCCGGUGCUACCCGCUGCCUGCUUCUUUCCCUUGUCCCUUGCCUCUGCUGCGGACUCGCACUCCUCACGUUUGUGGGCAUAGCCAUGCUCCGCCCAUAAGACUCGAUCAAAGACCUCAGCAAAGGUCGUGAGCUUAAGGAUUUGCAUGGCCCUAUAGAUUCCCGGCCGAAGUCCUCGCAAGAACCAAUCGGCCCGGUCCCGGUCAUCACGAACAACCUCCGGGACGCAAUCGAUGAGGUGGGAGAACUCCUGUUCGCAGUCUGCUACCGAGCGAUCUCCCUGCCUCAACUUGCGGAAUUUUUCUUGCAAUUAACUUCCGCUUCACCGUGUCGAGGAAAUAAUUGGCGAACGCCGCCCUCCUGAACUCCCCCCACAACAUAGGCGGAAGAUUGGGAGAUCGAUCCCGCCUAACACACUUCCACUACACCUUCGCCGCCUUCUCAAGGCAAUGCGUGGCGAGGUACACCUUGUCCUUCUCCGAGGUAUGCAGGUCCUCGAAGAGCGUCUCUAUGGAGUCGAUCCAUGACUCCACAACCGCCGGUUCCACCACUCCCCCUUCGAAGAUAGGUGGGUUGAACUUGUUGAACUGUACGAGAGCCGCUAACGCACGCUCCCGUUCCGCCUCCUCCGCCGCACUAUCGGGGUUUGAAGCUCCCGAACCAGCCAACACCACUGUAAUAGGCACGGCUGCCGCCGCCACGCCCUCAGCCGCACUCGGCACCACUGCAGGGGGUAUAGGGUGCACGGCCUCCACGGGCGCUGCCGCUUGGCACUGAACGGACUCCGCUUGCUGCCGCACUACGCCAAUAAGCGAGGCCAUUUGCUCCCGAAGCUCCCCGUCGCUACCUGCUCCGGGUUGCACAGGAGCCGCACUCGAUUCCUCGGCCAUAGACCUCGUUCGCGGUCGACCACGAGGCAACUUAGGUUGUCCACGAGGAGGCAUUGCUUCUUGAAAUGAAGCAAUUCACAUUAGUCUCUUAGGAAACAUACUCGAUUAUACCCAAUCAGGCGAAAGCAUACAAGUGCAUUUAUUUUCAUUCCCAAGCAUCAUGUCGUUGGCCGCCGAUCACAACACAAGGAAAAGAAAACAAAUAUCAACUUAAAUUUAGUCCCUAACCAUAUUAGAGACAUAUUAACAUUAACCCAAUCAUAAGCUUUCGCUAUACUUUGUUCAACGUCACUCACGUUUCCUAGGUCCUUAAGGUCUUUCCAAUCCUAAAACUCUCUAGGUCCAUCUUAUACUUUCACUUUUUGGCUUUUACGCUCUGAUACCAUUUUAUCUGUCAUGCCCCGAACCUGGUCCUAUUUGGUAGAUUCGGACCCGUCAAACAGAUGCCGAACGGACAGAGUCUCCCCUGUCUGCCCAAGGCUCAACAUCCUGUACAAAUAGAGUAUGAAUUUUGCACAAAAUGGAAGCAUACACAAUGGCUUGCACGAGGGCAAGCAAUAGCCAAUAGUGAAAGUAAUAAACUACACUUAGGAAAUUAUUUACAUUUUUGCAUCAUUUCUUCUCUUUUACAUCACAUGAUCUCAAAAUAUAAGUUCUUGUAUUUAAAUAUAAAAUCUUUAACAACAUUCAUGUUUUUUUUCCUUUAACAUCUAUAGUCAUCAAAAUAUAAAAGAUGAUGUACAAGGGUAUGCAACUAAACCAAAAUAGUAAACCCACUCGGGAGGUCUCUAUCUAGGGCACGAUGCCCUUACCGCGGUCGUCCGUCAGCUCGCUCGGUCCCGGCUCUGUGAAAAUAGUGGGGUGAGAACUACAACAAAGUUCCUAGUGGGUUCGGCAACUGACCACGCCGACUUUCCCACUAGGUCUAAAUCAGGUAUAAUAGAAGAAUAGAUUAAUAGUAACCAAGCUAAAACAAAUGCAACUAAUAUAUCUGAACAAUAAAUAAUGCUAUGCUCAACAAAGUACUCAUGAUGAAUGCAAGGUCACUGCUCAGAACCCAAUCUCUAGGCUAUCCCGUAGGUUUCGCCCACAAUAGACUCACAAACUCAAAUUUCAAAAAUCGGAGAGACUACUACGCCUGAUGGGACCGUCCUCUGGGGAGGCUACUACGACCCAGUGAUGACAACUCCAGAGCACAUCGCCCGAGGGGGAGCUACUACCCUCGAACAAGGACUUACAGGUGAGUAUGAUCCAAUUCUUAACUAUAAGGAUGUCGAGUUCAAUCCAUUCCUUAACUAUAAGGAAGCCAUGCACUAGGACCCUUAACUCUAAGGUUGAAAUUGUCAUAAUGUCACUAUCACACUUUUACUUGUAUUCUUUACUUUCACUAGUGUCAUAUACACUACUAUGUUCUUGUACACAUGCCACACUUGUUUUAUAAGUGUUCCACUCUAGCAUUCUUGACUCGUCAAUGCCAUUCUCUACCUCUAUGUCAAUAAGUCACAUUUGUUUUCUAGUUCACUAAAGUUCUUGUCACUUGUCAUGCAUAAAUAGGGUUUAUAAAAUUCUCACAUUCUUGCUAGUAACUCACAUGCAUUUGUACUCACAACAUGCCAUAAGAAGCUCACAAUUACCCUACUAUGCAAUAUACUCAAAUACAUACAUAUGCUCAAAUAUGAUACUUUAGACAUAAAAGGAAUUCCGAGGUAUUCGGAAUGCACGACCCACCUUAGAUGGUUGUAGGAAUGCUACAAUGAAUUUCUUAGAAUUUUUGAAGCCCUACUUUAUCGCCUGCGGCAAAACGAAGCCAAAUUAGGUUUUUUCUCAAUAACUUUAUCUAGACCUUUUCAUAACGUCAAACGGAGUUAUCCCACACGUCGGGAAUACCCCCAAUUAGGUUUCUACAAGGUCAUUUAGAACCAUCUAAUUAUUCCUAGGGCAUAAUAAGUAAACCCUAGGAAAUCACCAUUAGAGCACAUGAAGAAAACUAGGAUUUUCAUGUGUUCUAAGCCAUUACUAGGUUUCUAUACAUGAGAGAAGGUCAAAACCUAGUUUUUUAGGGCAUAAAACUAAACCCUAUACCUAUUGUCACAAAACACCUCACCUUGGCCCAAAGCUCUCCAAGGUCCUUCUUGUUGGAGAGAUCCCAAACCCUCAAAGCCUCCAAAUCCACCUUCAAAAGCCUUCUCCACUCCUUCUCCUUGCUCUUUAGGGAGAGUUCUAGAGAGAGAAAGAGAGAAAUGAGAGGGAAGAUGUGUGUUCGCUGUGUGAGAGGGAGAGAGGAGUGUUGGGGAUAUAUAUAAGGUGCUACAAUUACCAAAAAUCCCUCUACUUAUUAAUAUUUGCAGCUGUUUCCAACCUGCUGUCGACCCAAAGUGUACCGGUACACUUUAGGGUGUCACCGGUAACACAAUCACGUAUGGCCAAACCCGGGUUUGGGGCAUUUGUACCGGUACACCUUCAUUUUGUACCCAUACACUUAUCUGUACCGGUGACAACUCUGUUAAGUAUUGUGUAUUGGCAAGUUUUGUGAAGUGAGUCGGAGUCUUGAAGAACCGGUGCGUAUCGUUGAAGAUCGAAAAAUUCAAGAUUUCGAAGAAGUCAGAAAAUAUCUCAUGACGUGAAUCACGAUGCUCAGGUAAAGUAUAAAUUCAUGUUAUGGUGAUUCAUACUUAGUUGUAGACAUUAGAAUCAUGUUAUCAAUGUCUAAUGGAUAAGAAAGUGCAUCGAUUCUAAAGUCUAUAAAUAAGCUAUUGGGCUUCUCUAACAGAUUAAGCAUCACGAAAAUACAUAUUUGAGAAACCCUAGAGGCUAGGAUUUGAUCAAAAAACCUAUUUUCUACAAAAAGCCUCUUUUAGAUCAAAUCGUGAUAUUGAAAUUUGAUAUUAAUAUGUCGAUUUGAUCUCCGCUUCGCUUGGAGUUCUAUUCCCUAGUUUUCUACGAUACUCCAAAGCGAAGGAUCACCAUAUUCAUGAUAUUCUUCAUGGUGGCGUCGUGGAUUCGGCGUAUUUGACGGCGGUUCGUGGAUUCGGAUCGUGGGCUCGUGGAUUCGAGUGGCGUCGUGGAUUCGGCGUGAUUGAAGCUUCGUGGAUUCGAAGUGGAGGCGUUUGUGGAUUCGGACGUGAGGGCGUGGACAACCCGGAGGGUAGCACGAAGAUUCAUAGGAGGUUAAGAGAGGUUAAGUCCGUGGAGUCGGUAAUCACCUUGUAAUCUUUUCUCUUAGUGAAUUGUUUUUUCAUGUGUUGGUCCCGUGGGUUUUUCUCCAAAUUGGAGUUUUCCCACGUAAAUCUCGGUGUGUUUUUUAUUUUCCGCAUUUAUUUUUAUUGCAUCGAGAUUUGUGGUUUUUGGCCGUUACGCCUAUUCACCCCCCUCUAGGUGAUAGAUACAAUCUAGAUAGAUCCUCGGGUUCCUCGAAACUUUCAAUUGGUAUCAGAGCGGGAUCUAGAUAAAUUGUUAUCUAAUGGCAGAAGGUGGUAACAUUAAUCGACCUCCGCUUUUCGACGACACGAAUUAUGCCUAUUGGAAAGUUCGCAUGAGAGCUUUUCUAAUUGCUAUCGAUGAGCGGGUUUGGCAAUCAAUUGAAUUUGGGUGAAAACAUCCGAUAGAAAAGGUCGAUAAUGUUGAAAAGCCAAAACCACGGAAGAAAUGGACGAAGGAAGAAAACGAGACAUCUUCGUUUAACGGCAAGGGCAUAAACGCUUUAUUUAAUGCUGUCACGCCCCGGGACCCAGCGGAAGCCCGCCCGGCGCGUGCCCAGACCCGCCAUAUGUCUACAACAUAUAAGGCGUCUAAAAACAACAAUAAUGAAAGCAAUAAUAAAAGACAUCUAGGAGUAUCAGAGCAUAGUAAAUGUCUAAUUGCUACAACAGGAGAUAUGGAUAAAACUGUAAAUCCGCUAAAUAAAACAUAAAGCGAGUACAAUGGGAAUCCCAAAUACAAGUGUUAUAGGUAGGUACAUAGGUGGUCUCUAUACAUGGAUACAAAAAUCUCACACUCUCCCAAAAUACAAAAGAAAGAGCAAACCACCUAAGUAAGAACCGCUCCUCGCUAGCUAGCUAAGCGAUCCCCUUGCCGCGAUCCCGCGCCUCCGCCGGUGCCGAAGGCUCUGAAAGGAAAACCAGAAAACAGGGGCGUGAGAACUAUUAAAAAUAGUUCCCAGUGGGCAAUUACUGACUUUAGUGAACUGCGCCACGAGGCCCAAAAGCUACAAGAAGAGGUCAGUGACUAUAACUGUAGGAAAAUGAAAGGCAAGUAAAAAGUAACUUACUACAACAUGAUAUCUCUACUUAGCAUAAAUAGCAUAAGUAUGAAACCACUAUGCAUGAAGUAAAAGUCCCAACUAUCAUAAUGUUCCCAAUGCGAAAUAGUAAAGUUCCGUUGUUUACUAUUCUAGUCAAUGUCCAAAUAAUACUCUAAGUCACCAUCUGUCCACAUGUCAUGAUGACUCCGCAAGUCAAAUCUGAAGAGACCCACCCGAAGGCUGUCUAUGGCCCUGAGACCCACCCGUAGGCUGUCUGGCCGGUGCCGAGCCUAAUGGCCCCGUGGUAGUCAACACCCCCACCCUAGGAGUGAGCCUGGCCCACGGCAAUCCACUUCGGCGCCCAAUCCCGCACGGCGAAUAUGUAUCGCGAUGGCCAUCUCCGGAGUGCCGGCUUGUAGGGAGCGACCCUCACAAGCAUGUGCGAAUGAGCACAAUGGCAAGUAGUCAAACGAUCNNNNNNNNNNNNNNNNNNNNNNNNNNNNNNNNNNNNNNNNNNNNNNNNNNNNNNNNNNNNNNNNNNNNNNNNNNNNNNNNNNNNNNNNNNNNNNNNNNNNNNNNNNNNNNNNNNNNNNNNNNNNNNNNNNNNNNNNNNNNNNNNNNNNNNNNNNNNNNNNNNNNNNNNNNNNNNNNNNNNNNNNNNNNNNNNNNNNNNNNNNNNNNNNNNNNNNNNNNNNNNNNNNNNNNNNNNNNNNNNNNNNNNNNNNNNNNNNNNNNNNNNNNNNNNNNNNNNNNNNNNNNNNNNNNNNNNNNNNNNNNNNNNNNNNNNNNNNNNNNNNNNNNNNNNNNNNNNNNNNNNNNNNNNNNNNNNNNNNNNNNNNNNNNNNNNNNNNNNNNNNNNNNNNNNNNNNNNNNNNNNNNNNNNNNNNNNNNNNNNNNNNNNNNNNNNNNNNNNNNNNNNNNNNNNNNNNNNNNNNNNNNNNNNNNNNNNNNNNNNNNNNNNNNNNNNNNNNNNNNNNNNNNNNNNNNNNNNNNNNNNNNNNNNNNNNNNNNNNNNNNNNNNNNNNNNNNNNNNNNNNNNNNNNNNNNNNNNNNNNNNNNNNNNNNNNNNNNNNNNNNNNNNNNNNNNNNNNNNNNNNNNNNNNNNNNNNNNNNNNNNNNNNNNNNNNNNNNNNNNNNNNNNNNNNNNNNNNNNNNNNNNNNNNNNNNNNNNNNNNNNNNNNNNNNNNNNNNNNNNNNNNNNNNNNNNNNNNNNNNNNNNNNNNNNNNNNNNNNNNNNNNNNNNNNNNNNNNNNNNNNNNNNNNNNNNNNNNNNNNNNNNNNNNNNNNNNNNNNNNNNNNNNNNNNNNNNNNNNNNNNNNNNNNNNNNNNNNNNNNNNNNNNNNNNNNNNNNNNNNNNNNNNNNNNNNNNNNNNNNNNNNNNNNNNNNNNNNNNNNNNNNNNNNNNNNNNNNNNNNNNNNNNNNNNNNNNNNNNNNNNNNNNNNNNNNNNNNNNNNNNNNNNNNNNNNNNNNNNNNNNNNNNNNNNNNNNNNNNNNNNNNNNNNNNNNNNNNNNNNNNNNNNNNNNNNNNNNNNNNNNNNNNNNNNNNNNNNNNNNNNNNNNNNNNNNNNNNNNNNNNNNNNNNNNNNNNNNNNNNNNNNNNNNNNNNNNNNNNNNNNNNNNNNNNNNNNNNNNNNNNNNNNNNNNNNNNNNNNNNNNNNNNNNNNNNNNNNNNNNNNNNNNNNNNNNNNNNNNNNNNNNNNNNNNNNNNNNNNNNNNNNNNNNNNNNNNNNNNNNNNNNNNNNNNNNNNNNNNNNNNNNNNNNNNNNNNNNNNNNNNNNNNNNNNNNNNNNNNNNNNNNNNNNNNNNNNNNNNNNNNNNNNNNNNNNNNNNNNNNNNNNNNNNNNNNNNNNNNNNNNNNNNNNNNNNNNNNNNNNNNNNNNNNNNNNNNNNNNNNNNNNNNNNNNNNNNNNNNNNNNNNNNNNNNNNNNNNNNNNNNNNNNNNNNNNNNNNNNNNNNNNNNNNNNNNNNNNNNNNNNNNNNNNNNNNNNNNNNNNNNNNNNNNNNNNNNNNNNNNNNNNNNNNNNNNNNNNNNNNNNNNNNNNNNNNNNNNNNNNNNNNNNNNNNNNNNNNNNNNNNNNNNNNNNNNNNNNNNNNNNNNNNNNNNNNNNNNNNNNNNNNNNNNNNNNNNNNNNNNNNNNNNNNNNNNNNNNNNNNNNNNNNNNNNNNNNNNNNNNNNNNNNNNNNNNNNNNNNNNNNNNNNNNNNNNNNNNNNNNNNNNNNNNNNNNNNNNNNNNNNNNNNNNNNNNNNNNNNNNNNNNNNNNNNNNNNNNNNNNNNNNNNNNNNNNNNNNNNNNNNNNNNNNNNAAUGGCGAAAGUGAGGAGGAAUCAAACGACGACGACAUAGCGGAAGCGUACAAUCAACUUCUCAUUGAAUCAAAGAAGAUGGCUAAACUCAACAAGAAGUUGAGACGUCGUUUGUUGGAACUUGAGGAGGAAAACAACAACGUAAAGAAUUUGAAUAAGGUUCUUGAGGAGGAAAGGGAUUCAAACUUGAAGAUUAAUUCGGACCUCCAAGAAAAGUUUAAUGAAGCGGAAUCAACGAUCAAAUCUUAUAAAGACAAGGUUGGAUUUUUGGAGCAUCAAUUUCAUGAAUCGCACAAGUUCAAUCAAGUCUUGACCGAACAAGUUCGUCAACUCCAAUCAGAUCUUCAACAAUUUUCUUCGGGAUCAAAGAAGUUGGACAAAAUGCUUGGAUUGGGUCAAACGAACAAAUUGGGCCUCGGAUAUGAACGCACAUACGUUGAGAAGGAUUCAAUAUCAACUUCUAAAGUCUCAACAAAUUCGAAAGACAAGGUGUGUCAUAAAUGUGGUAAGAAAGGACACAUUAAAAGGAAUUGCCCAAAGAAGGAAAAGAAGAAUCAAUCGGCAAUGUCUAAACCUCAAACGGCAUCAUCUACAACUCGACUUCCCCUGCGGAAUCAAAAGAAGAAUCAAGUUAGUCGAGUACCUCAAAAGAAUCGGAUUUCUAAUGCACAACGCCAAGUUCAUGCAAACCAGGUGCAUAAAUCUCAACGACAAAUUCAACCUAAGCCUCAACCGAAGAAAACACCAACGGUUGUUCAAAAGUCUAAACAAACGGCACCUAACGUCGACAAGUCGAGAAAACCAACGAUCCGACAAGUUUGGAUCCGGAAAGGUGAUAUCUUUCCUUGCUCCUCGUCUUAGUCAUUUUUGUUCUUUAGUGUAAUGCUUUGAUUGGUGCUUGUUGUUUAAUUUUAUUCAUUACAUUACAUGUUUGAAUGAUUUUUGGUGCAUUGAAUUUUUGUUUAUUUAAAAAUCAUUUUGAGGAAAAGGUGUUUAGGAAUUUCAAAAUCUUUGAGAAAGGAGAUGAUUGAGAAUUUUUUUUGGAGAGGAAGUUUUUAAAGAUUGUUUAAACAGGUUUUAUCUUCACAAUCAUAUUAAGUUAAAUUCAUAUUAAUUAUCGUNNNNNNNNNNNNNNNNNNNNNNNNNGUUUUGUAAGGUUUUCCUCUAGGGUUUGGAUUUUGGUUAAGAGAUUUGGAGCUUUGUGCUCCUUAGAGGUUUUAGAAGCUCUUUUGAGCCAUGAACAACAAGGUACCCAUGAGAGCUCAAGGUGCUCUCAUGGUGAACCCUUGGAAGUUGGGUUAGAAGCCCUAGGGUUGGUUCCAAAAGCUUGGAAACCUUAUUAGAAUGCUUCCUAAGUGAAUCUAAGUUACCAUUUGCUUAGGGUUGAGAUCAAUUCAAGGGGAAACCCUAAAUGACAAUGUUAGGGCUUGGAUUUGGGGCUUUUGCCCUAGGAUUUUUUGGGGACAAAUUGACCCCGUAGAAACCUAAUUGGGGGUGCCCUAAACACGUUGGACAACUCCGUUUAAUAUUACGAAAAUGUUAGAACAAAGUUCAUGUACAAAAAGGCCUAAUAUAGCAUUAUUUUGAUUAUAGGGCGCGGGAUCGGAUUUCAUAAAGUGCGGGAGCUUCCGUAACCUACACCCACACAACUAAUAGAGGGGGGGUGCACGCCGGAAUCGUUGGAUUCCCUUCUAUGUCUGUUUUCUCUAUUCGUGAGCAUAUAUAUAUAUAUAUACACCCAUUCAUGCAUAGUAGGGUAGCUACAUGUGGAACUUGGUUUGACUUCAUUUAUAUGCUUCUAACGUAGUUGAACAUAGAGAAUGAUAGAACCAAAAUGGACAUGUGUGUUUGGACCCUCAAGUUGUGUGAAUGUGAGAAUGGACUUGGACAUUAGAAAACAUGGGUGUCAUUGACAUAGAAACAAGAAUUGCAUUGUGAGAUGAACCGUUGAAUAUAGUUUAACCCAUAUUGACAUUGUCGAAGAUAAAGCCUUGAGAGUGGCAAGAAUGAAUAGGUAGGGACCCAUCGUGAUAUUGGCAUUGUGACUAGUGGCUAUGAGUCCUUAAGUUGAGGAUUAGAUCGAUACUCACAUUUCGUCUUGGCUUGAGGGAGAUCGCUCCCCCUCGAGCGGUGCGCUCCGGAGUUGGUCACCACUGGGUGUGGUAAAGUCCCACCAGUUGACGGUCCCUAGGGAGGUUCGAGUCCCCCGUUAUUAAGGGAUUUUGGGUUGUGAGUUAGUGGGGUUAACAGAGUUAACCGGUAAGAUUGGGUAAGAGCCAAAGCUUGAUUAUGAUUGAAGCAUGCAUGCAUUUCCAUUACCGCAUUGAAAUUGUAUAUCUACUGACUUCUUUCUUGCAGGCAUAGUAUUAGUUGCAUUAGUAAUGGUUUUUUCUUCCUUUGAAAUAGUUAUGCCUGGAUGGACCUAGUGGGUAAGUCGGCGAGGUCGGAUGCCGAGCCCACUGGGAACAUCGUUGUAGUUCUCACACCUCUAACCCUACAGGUCCUAGUACGAGCGGGGCGGCGGAGGACCGAGGCAAGGGUUUGGCGCCGUAGGUAGCGGCCACCGGGACUUUAUGCAUUUUGUAGUCAUUCCCUUUUGUUAUACAUGUAUCAACUUUAUUCUGUUGAUUUAGGUAUGAAAAGUGUAAAUAAUCAUGUAUUUUGAGGAUGACUAAAUGUAAAAGAUAUGAUGGUUGAAUGGAAUGUAGUAGCCUUGUUUACUUGAAUUUGGUUUAAAUGGAAUCAAAUAUCAUGUGUGAUGUAUAUUUAGCUUAGAGCUUUCGCUUCCGUUGUUGCUUGCCCUCGAGCAAGCCUUGUAUUAUAUAUGCAAUUCUCUCGUUUAUUGCCACUUUAUACCUAUUGUUAGAGCCUUGGGCGGACAGGGGAGGCUCUGUCCGUUCGGCGUCUGUUGACGUGACCCGAACCCGACCAAAUUGGCGUGGAUUGGGGCGUGACACUGAGGGAGAGAGGGACUAAUAAGUCCUCUAAUGUAACAAUAUCCAGCUGGCCCCCUCAACUUUUUAUUCUCUGCACAGCCCUCACUGGGCAUUUUGCGCGCGGAGGGACUGGUCUCCCCGAUUUGAGAUCGGUCCCCGAGAGCUUCAGCUCGGGUCACGCGUUCGGGUACCGGUCUCUCCCAGAGAGACCGGUCCUUGGGAGACCGGUUCCUUCCUGAGAGACCGGUUCCCGAGAGUGGGAUUUUAAGGACUUAGCCAAAUUUUUGGCUUUCUCGCUGGGUUCGCAUUCGGGGACCGGUCCCUCCCUGCCAGGGACCGGUUGCCUCAAGCAACCCCGCAACACCCGCUGAUGGGACCGGUCCCUCCCUGCCAGGGAUCGGUUCCCGAGAGUAGUUUUGCUCCAGUGCAGGUUUUGCACCAUUUGCUCUCGUGGACUCGUUUUCAAUGCACUUUUGGUGAUUAUAAUAUCUUUGGCUUUUCCAAAGCUCACCAACACGACCCUUGGUCGUUCUGGAUGAAGUCUAACUCUCGUAUUUCGAGAAUUCACUUCCUCACACUAUCAGACCUCAAAACUCUUUUGUAAAUCCUUUUAUCGAAAAACAGCGAAAAAUGUAUAUUUUUUAAACCAAAGUUAAAGAUGACCCUAUAAGGGUGCGUUUGGUUCGCACUAUGAAAGAUUACUAGUAAUAAAAAGAUGUCCAAGAAUCUUAUUCCUAUUCAUCCUACUACGAAGAAUGUAGCAUUCCUGUGUUUGGUUCGCACUGUUAUAUUAUUUAGUCAUGUUAUUUAAGUUUACAAAAAAUAUACAAUUAAUUUAUUUAUUUCUUCAAUUAAUUUUAUUUUAGAUAAUGCCACCAAAAAUUUCAACAUCUUUUUUAAAAAAAGGGAGAGAGAGAAAAUAGGUUAGAGAGAGAGCAUAAUUAAAUAAAUAGGAAGAGAAAUAGAGUCGAGAUUAGAGGGAGUGCGAGAGUUGAGAUUUUAGAAAAAUAGGGGGAGAGAGUGCUUAGUUUAGAAAGAGAAAAAGAGUUGAAGUUUAGAAAGAAAAAAAUAAGUUUAGAGAGAGAUAUGAGGUUAGAGUGUAAAGAAAAAUAAUACCAACUAGCCGGCGGGUAGGGAGAAAGAAAGAGAUUAGACAUAUUAUGAUUACCCUAAUCCAUUAAUAUGAGGAUACCCACUCUCCCUCAAGGGAAUGAAAUUAGUACUUUAGAAUGAAUCUCAUUCCCAAAUAAAUCUAAUAUUACCAACUAGAUUACUUAGUGUGUUUAGUCAAACACCAUCAUAUUUUUUUAUUCAUAUUGGAUUAGUAGGAAUCUUAAAAAGAUAACGCGAACCAAACGCGCCAUAAACGUGCACAGACUCGCCAUAUGGAUAGUUUUUUCUGUACAAACCGAUAGUCUUUCCUGUACAUGCAUGAUGUAAAAAGCACAACCUCCACCAAUAUAACCAACCACAAUAAGAAUGACAAUAACAACAAGGAUGAAUACAAUAACAACUAUAAUAUCAGAAGAAAACUAAAUACUAAUAACAGAAGAACACUAAAGAAAUAGGUAACAGGAACACAAGGCUUCUGCCGUUUUGAACAGGUUGCUCCAAAAGUCUUUGGUAUCAACAACGUAUGUAGGAUAAGAUGCAAGAUUAGAUGUAGCAACAAGUUUGAAAUUGUACUUUCCUAUUUUUGGUCGAUCAGCUUUUUAACCUUUGCAAUUGGAAAAGUCACAGAAUACGAGAAUCAACAUUUUGAUGUUCUAACACUUGCUUCAAUCUAUCAGGUUAAAAUCUGCACCUCUUCUCUUUCACAAAUAAUUUUUAUAAAAUUAUAAAUCAGUUUCAUUAUAUAUAUUUUUUUAUUUGAAAAUGCUAAUUGUUAUGAUCUGAGUUAAUUCUGACGAUUUGCCAUAAUUUUAUAGGUGCAAGUAACAUGAUUGUUUAUAGUUGAACUUGCACCAUAGGAAAAACUAUCUAACCUAAAGUCCUUGUCCUAAGUCCUUUAUACGCUACGUGACUCUGGAUUUAAUAGAAAAUGUUGGUGUAAAUAUUCAAAAAAUAGAGGUUAGCUACAAAAUAAUUUAAAAAAUAUCAACGAGUCGAUCAAGCCGAGGCACGGAUAUCUCGCUCUCUUUAAGGAGAUUCAAGCCCUCUGCGGUUGGCAAAGCCUUUGAACCGAUGCAGCAGAGCACCGACUUGUCCCCUCCAGGAUACAACGGCUCGACCCUCGUCGUGUGGCUUCACCAACUCUGCACAAGUAGAUGAGCCCAAAGCUCCACCAAAAGAACACCUUUCUUUGACCUUCUCUCUCUCACAAGUAUAAUAGAAAUAGCUUUAGUAGUAUAUUGAGUUGUGUAUAAAAAUAGAAAAAAAAAGCACUCUAUAUAUAGGCUCUAAAAGGUAUAGGAGUUACGAGAAAAUAAAAAGCCAUAGGUUACAUAGCAUUUAAUAGAGUUCAUUAUACAUACGUUGCAAUCCUAACGAAAGCAUAGAUUAAGUGUUUAGCAGUAUACAACACUAAAUGUGAUAAAGUAAACUGCAUUCCUCAAGUGGUAACUGCAAGAGCAUAAGUUAUCAAAAGGAUAUUCAAAUCAUAUAAAUAAUAAAAAUGUAACAACAGAAAAUAAUAAUAAUAAUAAUAACUAUUUCUGAACUAACCCCACUUUUUUUUGGGUAAAAAAACAAAAUCCCAAAUCAAAUUGAGUUGAAACAAUUGAACUGCAAAUAGAUUCCAUUGUCCUGUGAUUUUGAUUACCAAAUAACAGUUUAGGUGAAACGAUUUAUUGUGUACUACAAUGGAUAGUGCAUUAUCCUACCCACCAACAUCUGCGGGCAGUAGUAAUCAGCAGAGAGAAGUAUAAAUGUGUAAGACAGCAGAGCAACAAAAUCUUUGCAGGCUAAGCAGCAUGCCUGCUCCUGGGCACCAGACGAGCCCUGAGGGGAUUCUUCAUAACGAUGGUGAAUUCGGGCUUCUCUGCCAAGUCGACUUCCUCCCCCUCCGCUGCCGGCAGCCACUCGAACUCCCUGACAAGAUGCGCCACGAAGCACUCGAGGUGCAGCAGGGCGAGACCGAGUCCUGGGCACAUCCUCCUCCCCGCCCCAAACGGCAUCAUCUUGAUCACCCCCUUGCAGACCCCUGCGGCAUCUACCCCCUCGCCGUCACCUCCCUCCAUGAACCGCUCCGGCCGGAACUCCAUCGGCGCCUCCCACACCCUCCCAUCCCGCCCCAUCUCCGCCACCAGGAAGUUCACUGCCGCCUCCUUCGGAAUUCGGUACCCUGUGAUCUCCGUCUCCUCCGUCACUGCAUGCGGCAGCACGAAGUGCCCCGGCGGGUGCCGCCGCAGCCCUUCGAGCACCACCGCCUUCAGGUACGGCAUCUUUUGCAAGUCCUCUUCUCUUAUGGCAUCCUCCUCCUCCGCAUUCCCCGCCGCCACGCGGUCGAUCUCCUCCGCAAGUUUCCUCUGCACGUCCUGGUGCUUCACCAGGUUGGCCAUGAUCCACUGCAGCGCCGUCGACGUCGUGUCCGUGCCGGCGUUCAGGAACUCCGAGCACAGCGCCACCAUCUCCUCCUCGCUCAGCUUUCUCCCACCUUCCUCCGGGAUCUCCAUGUCCAGCAGGGAGUCGACGUACGAGUACACGAAUCGCUCCUCGUCUUCUUGAACCUGGUCGCCGUUCUGCCGCCGCCGCUGCUGCUGCUGCUUUUUCCUCUUGAAUUCUUCCCGGGCACGGAUCAACGGGACGAACAGCUCGCGCUGUCUCGCCCUCAACGCUGUUGCGGUCUUCAACCUGUUUCGGAAGAUGUGCUUGGUAAUCUGCGGAAGGAUGCCGAGGACGUUGAGGUUGCUGACGACGUAGAGGAGGAAGCUGCGCUGGGCGAUCUCGAUCUGCUUUAUCGACUCGUGAUCUAAUUUUUCGCCGAAGCACAUCAGCACCAGCAGAGCGAACAUGGCGAACUGGAAGCUGGGCAUGACGGCGACGGGGCCGCCGUCGGAGGAACGGGACUGCGAGCGGAGGUCGUCGGCGAGGAGACGGAGGACCCAGCGGCGGCCGGGGGCGUAGAGCCUGAGGCGGGAGGGGUGGAGGAUCUCGGCGACGAGGUUGCGGCGGAGGAGGCGNUUUCGUGGGUCGAGUCGGAGUCGUGAAGAAGUUCGGAGCGAAGUAUUGAAGAUCGAAGAAUCCAAGACUUCGAAGAAUCGGAAAGGACGCAAAACAUGCAAAACUUGAAUCACGAUGCGUAGGUAAGUUUUAAAUCUUGUUUAUGGUGAUUCAUACUUAUUUAUAGAUCUUAGAAUCAUAUUUUCAAGUUGUAAUUGAUUAGAAAGUUUCUAAGAGUUUGUAAAACCCGAAACAAUGCAUUUUCAGCGAAAAUUGCAUUGCUGUACCGGUACAAGGAUUUUCUGUCCAGGGUACAGCCAUCAACGUUCCGCAGAAAGUUUGAUGGUUGUUCCGGUACAAGCUUCAUGCUGUACCGGUACAAGCCCUGUUCCGGAACAAGCUAAAGCUAUCCAGGGUACAGGAGCUUCGCAGAAAAAUCUUCCGUAAUGGUGUACCCUGGACAACAUUCCUUGUUCCGGUAUAAGGUGCUGAUUUUAGAAAGAAACUUUCUAAUCCUACUCUGUUUUGAUUCUAAAGUCUAUAAAUAAGCUAUAGGGGUUCUCUAACGAAUUAAGCAUCAUAAGAAUACAUAUUUGAGAAACCCUAGAGGCUCGGAUUUCAUCAAAAACCUAUUUUCUACAAAAAGCCUCUUUUAGAUCAAAUCGAGAUAUUGAAAUUUGAUAUUAAUAUGUCGAUUUGAUCUCCGCUUCGCUUGGAGUUCUAUUCCCUGGUUUUCUACGAUACUCCAAAGCGAAGGAUCACCAUAUUCAUGAUAUUCUUCAUGGUGGCGUCGUGGAUUCGGCGUAUUUGACGGCGGUUCGUGGAUUCGGAACAUGGGCUCGUGGAUUCGAGUGGCGUCGUGGAUUCGGCGUGAUUGAAGCUUCGUGGAUUCGAAGUGGAGGCGUUUGUGGAUUCGGACGUGAGGGCGUGGACAACCCGGAGGGUAGCGCGAAGAUUCAUAGGAGGUUAAGAGAGGUUAAGUCCGUGGAGUCGGUAAUCACCUUGUAAUAUUUUUUCUUAGUGAAUUAUUUUUUCGCAUGUUGGUCCCGUGGGUUUUUCUCCAAAUUGGAGUUUUCUCACGUAAAUCUCGAUGUGUUUUUUAUUUUCCGCAUUUAUUUUUAUUGCAUCGAGAUUUGUGGUUUUUGGCCGUUACACCUAUUCACCCCCCUCUAGGUGAUAGAUACAAUCUAGAUAGAUUCUUGGGUUCCUCGAAACUUUCAAACUUGAUGGUUGUACCGGUACACAUUGCCCAGACUUGGUUUUUGGCUCCGUUUCGAUUCUAUUUCGCGCCGAUCGAUACCAAAACUCUUCUAACACUUCCAGAACUCAUUUUUAAUCCUUCCAAUCUUGUUGGAAUGCUAAAUGGAACUUGCCCAACUAUUUCUUUCGCAUUUUUUACUUUUAAAUCGCGCCGAGUGAUGCUAAAACUUGUAACGUUGUUGGAAUGUUAACUGAACUUUGUUCAUCCAUUUCUCUCGUCACUUUAACCAAUUUGGCUAAAGUUCGAUAAUCGCUAUCGAGGUUUCGAUACGUUACAAUAUUGUUUUAACAACAGAUCUUUUUGUAUUGAACUAGAUGAAAAAUGCAGGACUCCUUACUCUAGUUAAAUUACACCACUUAGUUAGCACCAAAAACAAUGUAAUAAUAUAGGAGAUGAGAGUAAUAGGAAGAACUAGAAAUGCUAAACAAAUUGAUAUAUCCUUCUACUUCCAAGUAAAGGCAUGCAAAUAUAAUGCUAAAACAUGCUACCAUAUUCCAUAGUUCCAAUCUUCAUGUAAUGCACAGAACAGAUUAUAACAAAUGCACACUUCUAAAGAAAAUUAAUUAUCACAAUCAAUUAAUCUAGCCUAAAACAUGCCAAUUUUAGCAUUCCUAAAUUAAGCGGAAAAAGCUUCUCGAACAGGGCAUUAGAUCUAAACAAUUUUCUCGCACAAGAUCCUACCUUUCUCCCAAAUCUUAUCACAUCUGGAAUAGGCUUAGUGGUAUAUUCUUAACCCUAGACUUGUGAAGGAGGAAUUUAUCAAGUUGGGUAUACGCCCUGGGAGGUAAGCACUGUCAAGCAUAAGCAAAAACGAACAAUAUUUGUUAAGGUAUCAUGCACUCAAGAUCCUCACUUGGCGUAAAUUCUAAAUUCUAAUUAUGAAUUAUAUGAAAUUUAUAUUGUUUUUUAUACUAAUUUAUGUGUUGGUGCUGCUAUGAUUUCCGUUUCACCAUUGUUGCCUGUUCUUUUUUGUCAAUCGAUGCCAACAUUUAAUUUGACUAAUUCAUUUUAACUAACUUUUAUAUUCGAUCCCCAAUCUUGAUAGUUACAUUGUUUUCAACUUGCAGGUUACUGAAGAUUUAGUGGGAUAUAAUAUGGCCUCCAUUGGCUUCUUUAAGUUAUACUUUCAUUCUUAAUUUGCUUGUUAGUCACAAGAUGCGAACAUACACAAAAGAUGAUUAAAGGUUGAUAAUUUAAAUUUUUGCUUUUGGUUUCUUAUGUUUACCAACUACUUUGCUUUUGGUUUCUGGUUUUUAUACUCUUUCUUAUGCAGGGAGUAAACAAAGUAUUUCCAUUUGUUUCAAGUGAUGAUCGAGGCUGAUGAUAUUAUAGAGGUUCAAACACUAGUUCUUUUUCUAUUGGUGAACUUAAGUUCCAUCUAUGAAUGAUUUUGAAGUUUAUAUUUGUAACAUACUGAAACUUCGGUAGAAUAUUGGACUCUAGCCAAAUUGGCCAAAGAGCCCGAGAGAAAUGGUUGGACGAAGUCUAUUUACCAUUCCAACAGUGUUGGAAGGGUUAGAAAUGAGUUCCAAAGGAUUUAGAAAGGUUUUGGCAUUGAUCGGCGCGAAAUAGAAUCGAAACGGAGCCAAAAACCAAUCUCGGCAUAGUGUAUCGGUACAACCAUCGAGUUGUAACCGGUACAGAUAAGUGUACCGGUACAAAGUGAAAGUGUAUCGGUACAAAUGUCGCAAACCCGAGGGAGCUGCUCUCGGGUUUGGUCAUACGCGAUCAUGUUACCGGUUACACGAUGAAGUGUACCGGUACACUUUCGGCUGACAGCAGGAAAUAGGUCUGCUGCAAAUAUAAGUUGUUGGGGGCUUAUUUGCAAAUGUUGCACACUAUAUAUGCAACCAAACCUCUUCUCCUUCACAGUAGCCCUCUCCUCUCCCAUUUUCUCUCCCUCUCUCUCUCUCUAGAAGUUUUGCACCAAGGCAAAGGAGAAGGAGAAGAAGGCUUGGAGAUGGCAUUUUGAGGGUUUCGAAGGAUUAAGAAGCUCUCCUUCAUGGUGGUCUUGGAAGAGCUUGGGCUAAGGUGAGUUAUUUUGGAAGAAUACAUCUAGGGUUUAGAUCUCUACCCUAAGAUUUAGAGUUUUGAUCUUCUUGCAAGCUUUAGAACCUUGUAGAAACUUGGAAACACAUGAAAACCAUGUGUUCUUCGAGGUGCUCUAAUGGUAGAUUUCUAGGGUUUGUUCUAAACACCCUAGGAAUGGUUCGAAUGGUUCUAAAUGAGUUCUUAAAUGUUGAACAAGCUCUCUUUUACUUGUUCUAGAGAUCAAAACUAAGAAGUGGGAUUAUGGCAUUGUUAGGGCACCAAAUUUGAAAAUUUUGCCUCCGGGUGUUUUCGAGAUAAAUUGACCUCUUGAAAACCUAAUUGGGGGUAUUUCCGACGCGUUGGUGUGCUCAGUUCGUUGAAAUGAAAAGACUAGAUAAUAUUUCUUGGUUAAAAGUCUAAUUUGGCUCUAAUUUGGUACAAAUCAACGGAACUCCCGAAAUAGGAGUCCAAAAAUAACGAGAACGGAUCCAGAGUAUCGUGGCAUCAAGUUAUUGAUCGAACAACUUCCGGAUUUUGGAUUGGUGGCCGUUGGUGGUCGAGUACGAGUUCGGCCGCACCGGACAACGAGUGCCGCGAGAGGCCGAUUAGAAGUGAUUACGAGCAAUCGGAGUGCGAAUCGAGGUGGGUUGUGCUCACCGAAGCGACUAGGUCGCCUCUAUGCCUAAGAGAAAAGUGGUUUCAUGUUGAUGCAUGUAAAUGUUAGAAGAAGCAUGUGGUAAUACUAAAAGAAUGCAUGUGAGCACAUUGUAAGAAUGCAUGUUAAUGACAUAAUGUAAAAUGUUAAUUGGAUGCAUAUGAUGUAAUAUAGAAAUACUAUAAUGCAUGAUGAUAUAAUAUGAAUGAUGCUAGUUAAAAGUAUAAGGUAAAUGGCAUUUGCAUGUUAAGAUAAAGUAGAGAAUAUGCUGGUUGUAAUGCGUAAUGACAAGUUGCAAAGAAUGCUAGUUUGGAUAAGCAUGUUAUGUAAAUGCUAGAUAAUUGCAUGAAGGCAUGGUUAGUAUUGUGAGGACUAUGGAAUACUCGAAUUGGACAACUAGGAUGUGAAUUAGAUCGAGUGGCAUUGGACCUAGUGUUAGUAAACAUAGGUUGGAUAAGAAUGACACAUGAACCUAGUGUUGUUAAACAUAGGUGGGCAUCGAACUUAGUAUUAAAGAACAUAGGUUGAGAAUGAACCUAGAGUUAACUAAAUCUAGGUGUGUGGCAUUAACCUAGUGUCGAGAACAUAGGUUGAGAGUUGAGCCUAGAGUUAAAGUAAACCUAGGUUAUGUGAUUGAGGCAUUAAACCUAGAGUCAGCUGGACCUAGGGUGGAGAGUGCAUUUGUAAUACACUGAACUUUUGCAAAUUGCGGAGUUCGAGUGUGUGGCAUGAGAUGUGGAACUAUCCUACAUAUUCUAAAAGGUUUGGACAAGUUUUUGAAUAAGUUAGAGGAUGAUUGGAAAGCUAGAAGUGAGAAAGUGCAUUGCAAUUUCGAAAUCAGCAUUUUCUACAUUGUGUACCGGUACAGCCAUUACCCUGUACCGGUACAGCAAGCAGCAGAGUCAGCUGCUGCGGGACAGCAGGGUUAUCUUGGUCUUUUCACCUCUUGUUCUUAUCUAUUUCAGUCCAGCAUGACCAGGGAUGUUUGCUGGAGUGUGCUAGAGCUCAGAGGAGCUGCCCUGCACCUUUCUCUCUCUCUCUCUCUAGGAUUUUUCUCCCUCUACGAAGGAGUCGCCGUUUUGCGCCGAUUUGGCGCCGCGCUCGAUUCUCGCUGGUUGGAGGACUCGAGGGAGGUCUUUGGAACGUGGGAAAGAAGGGUCUUAUCAUAUUUCCUGUGAGGUUACUUCCAGGGAAGCUGAUUCUCAGCUUUAGAGAGGUAACUAACUUGCUUUCUCUCGAAUUUACGGUUUAGUAUCGAAUUUUGACGCAGUUUAGUUCUGUUGCUUCCAACUGAAGUAGAAGAGGUUUUCAGCAGUAAAGAGGAGUCAUGUUGGCUGCUCAAUUGUCCAUUUAACCUCAGAGAAACUUUGCUUUAAAGCUUAAUAUGGAUAAUUAGUGAAUUAUAACUCAAUUUUGGACUAUAUGAAGUUUAAGCGAGUAAUUGAUGCAGUUUGGAAAUUGUUCCUUCGCAGCAGGUUUUCGAACCAUUUUGAGCUAAUUUGGUGACCUGGGGAUCUGGUUAGGAAGGUAUUCUAACCAAGGGUAAGCUGGAAUUUCAGCUAGAAACCCAUUUUCGCAAGAAUUCGACUAUAAAAGCUUGUAUACAAGCAUUCUAAUGCCGUUUUGAUGUUGUUUGCAGCAAGAGCGCGAUCGAGCCUUAGAUCAUCUUCUGUUAGCAUUGGAGAGCAAUUGAGGCUUAAUUUGAGGUACUAAUGUGACCCGAAACAGGGAUUUAAGCUAUUACCUUGUAUUAAGUGCGAAUUGUACCGAAAUUGGACAUUUCGGUUGUAGUAGUGAUACGACUUUCGUACCUUAUUAUAGCAGGAUUGAGGCUUCGUGGAGCUUGAAUUCGAGACCUCUUGUGGACUGAUUGGAGCCUAGUAAUAGGUGGGUUUGACCUAACCAGAGCAAGUGAAGCACCCCUAUGUUCUAUAUGUUACUAUAGAAUUGAUACAUAGGUACAUGUUAUAAUUAUAUGAUUGAUAAGGACUCGAAACUUGUCACCGUAACAUUUGAUACUUGGGACUGAAAGCUCUAUAAAGUAGAGAACACUUGUGCAUAAAAGCAUUCAUGUUCAUGCUUGUGACUAUGUUGAUAGUAGCAUGAUAGUGGAAAGAUUCUAAUGCCAUAUGUAAAUNAUGACUUAUGAACAAGUGUAAGAUACACGUAUAAAAACACUGACAUUGACUCUAAAGUAGAGAACCAUGACAUGUUUUCGGACUAUGUUGGUAGCACCAUGAUAGUGAAAAGAUUCUAAUGUCAGGUGUCACGCCCCGGGACCCGGCAAAGGCCCUGCCCGGUGCGUGCCCAGACCCGCCAUAUGCCUGCACAUAUAAGGCGUCUACAACAAAGUGAUAUGAAAGAUAAAAUAAACAAUAACUAACGAUAUCAGAGCAAGCAUGCAGCUAAGUUCUAUCAACAAGCGGAAAUAGAAAGGAAAGAGAAAGAGACUAAACCACUAGAACAUAAAGAAACUAAUACAUCAUAAGUCUCCAGAUACAAAAGUAGGGUGGUCUCUAUAACAAGGUACAAAACUCUCACAACCUCUCCAACGCAAAACAAAAGAGAGGUAGACCACCUAACGCCAAAUCCCUCGGUAGCUAGCUCGAGGCGAAACCUUUCCCGCGAUCCCGAGCCCCUCCCGAAGUGGAAGGCUCUGAAAGAAAACAUAAAACAGGGGGCAUGAGAACUAUAAUUUAUAGUUCCCAGUGGGCAAUUACUGACCUGCACCAACUGCACCACUAGGCCCAAAAGAGAGCAGAUAAAGUUAAUAGAAUUUAACUGCGGUAAAUGAAGCAUAAUAAUAAGAUGCUACUCUACUAUGCCAUAAGUAUGUAGAAUGUCAACAUGAAGUACAUCUACUCUACAUGAACCAGUAUGCCAGUACUUAAACAAAUAUGCUAUGAUGCAACGUGUAAUACUAUGAAGUUUGAUAUAUGUCUCAAAGCCAACUACAUAUCUAGUAUGUACUAUCCUGGCAACCAAGUACACUACGAUGCCAUCAGCGAUACCGUCAAGUAUCCUAUGAAUCUCAAUGUCCGACCCUAUGCCGUAGCAUGUUAAGGAAUCCAACUACUAUGACCUGUCUAGUAGUGAUUAUCAACUUGUUGUUUAAUAUUUUGGUUCAAUCUCAUUCAGGAUCUACACGGGUGUAGUCCGGCUUGUGCCGCCUAAGUGCCUGUGGUAGCCCAACAUUCCUGCCCUUGGAAUGUGUCUGUCCCACUCGACCCCGUAGGCUUCUCAGUACCGCACGAGCGAGCAUAUGUCGCGUAGGCUAACUCCGGAGUGCCGGCUUGUAGGGAGCGACCCGUACAAGCAUGUGCGAAUGAGCACAAAUGGCAAGCAAGCAUGGUCAAAACCUCAAGUACCCAAUCAUCAUGUCUCUAACAUGGUAACAGUCACUAGCAACCCAAAGGUCUAGUACUAUGUCUCAAUGUGAAGGUUAAACCGUUCAAUAAUUUCGAUGUCAAUGACCCUAGCUUUACUAAGUCCAAAUCUCAAGGUGAAGUUCCCACAUUCACUAUGUUUAGUGCCUCUUUAUGACAUUUAAACAUUGCUAUAAUCUAAGCACAUUUCACCUUCUAAGUCUCUUUAUGACGUUAACUUAUUCUAUCAAUAAUAGAUUAAUACACAUGCUCUCUAGUGUGUUCUUAUAUUGCCACAUGUAUGUUCUCUCCAAUGCAACUAUCCACUUGGCAUAAUUUCUCAUAAUAAUAACAUGCAAAUGCAAUUUACAUAUCCAUCAAGUCUAAUGCCGCUUUAUGACAUUAGCUUGCUAAGUCCAUCUCUAGUCCAAGCCUAAUGCCGCUUUAUGACAUUAGCUUACCAUUUGUAUACACUCUAACCUAUGUCACUUAAGGUCGAUAUGACCAACCAUGUCAAGUAUGCGUUCUAAGCCCAAGAGUGUAAUCUAUGUGCCAUAAGCACCAUAUGCAACAUGAUCUUAAUCAAAUGUAAGAAUGCUAACCAUAGGCCCCUAGCCCAACAUGAAAACUCUCUACCAUAUAGAGGUCAAAUAUGCAUUGUAUAUAACAUGUGCAUUUUAAGCAUUCUAAAAUUCACAAAUAAUGCAUCGAACAUGAAUAUGCAUGCUUUUUCAUUUUACAAUACUUAAAUCAUCAACAAUGAGAUUUUCUCAUUAUGUGGCUAGGUCAAACCCACCGACGACAACGGAACCCUUCGAUUGUUCCGAUGAGGGUGUCCACCACUCUCCUAGUACCCUAAAGGUAAGGAAACAAGUGUCACAAGAACCCUACAAACAACACAUAGCUCAAACAUUAAGCUUUUCAAGCUAAGGUGGGAAAAACUCACCGAAAAUGGUGAAUAUCUCUCUUGAUCUCCAAAAGGAGGCAAGAAUCCUUCAAAACCAACCUAAAAGAUGGUUCAAAUAAGAUCAAUCAAGAUCAAAAAGCCUCAACUCGAAAAUCCCCAUUUCUAACCCUAAAAUUCAAAAUCUAGGGUUUCCUCUAACCAAAAUCAACAAAACAUGUAUCAAAUGAAAAAUACAUGUUACUAACCUCUUAAAUAGCCUCAAACCAAGUCCAAAAUCAGCUAGGGUUGGAGGUCUCCUCACAAACAAGCUCCUCUCAAAGCUCCAAGUCUUCAAUCAUGGAGAAAACCCAAUAAAAGCAAAGAAGAGGAGAAGGGAGAGAUCAAAACACCAUAAAAUCCACCAAAAAUAGGGAUCAAACAAGGGAAGGGGAGACUCACCUUGAUCUCCACUGGUUAGGGCUCAAAGAGAGCAGCUAAGGGGGCUGGGGUCACCUAUAUAGGUGUUGUAACAAUUGCAAAUACAUCCCUCCCCGAAACAGCCCGAACUGCACUGCGUACCGGUACACGGGUUUGUGUACCGGUACACAUCCCACGAACCAGCCCAACCCGAGCCUCGGGUUGGCGCUCUGGCUGCCAGGGUCGAUGGCUGUACCGGUACAGCCAUCACCGCGUACCGGUACGCCACCCCGAAAUUUGCAACCCGAGAGCAGCCUAAGUCCUCCACUUUGGCGACCUUAGUGCUACUUGAAAUACCACAAUUCUCGGGAUACGAGCCAUAGGUCUGAACACUGUCUACGACCCACCAGAAAAUCUGGAAAAACUCAUAACACCAGCCAUACACUCGAACCUCGCAGUUUGCAAAGGUCCAGUGCGUUACAUCAGGUGUAAAUUAGCAUUACUCUUGCAUGCUUACUAAACUAGUGGAUUCUAGUUGUGGUUACUAUUUGUUAUAUUGAAAUGCCGAUCGAGGAUCGAGACUGAGAACAUUGCAAAUGAAAAUAUGAUAAUUGAGACAUGUGGAUAGUGGAAUAUGCUUGUUUGCCAUUGUGCUCAUUCACACACGCUUGUGAGGGUCGCUCCCUACAAGCCGGCACUCCGGAGUUGGCCUACGCGACAGUUGCUCGCCCGUGCGGGAUUGGGUGCCGAAGUGGAUUGCCGUGGGGAGUGUAUACUACCACGGGGCCAUUAGGCGCGGCGCAAGCCGGACUACCUUGAGUAGGUCCUUAUGGACGAAAUGAAAGUACUACAUGACAUUUGACAGUAAUGAAUGCUUACCUGUUACAGUAGAUAUUUGCAUAUUCGUGCUUAUGUUCAUGUUAUAUUCAUUACUACAGAGAUUAUGAUUCCAUGUUAAUUACAUGUUCUUCACCUGUUAGCAUUGCAUAUAUAUAUAUAUUAUGCAAUUAUUGCUUUUACUUUCAUUUAGUACAUCAUGAGCCUAGUGGUAUAAUUCGCCGAGGCUGGCUGUUUACCCACUGGGAACUAUUGUUUAUAGUUCUCACGCCCUUUUUAUUGUUAUUUUUACAGAGCCAUCUACAGGAGAGGCUAGGGAUCGUGGCAAGGGAGUCGCGUCUAGCUAGACAUUGCUAGGAGCAUGCUAGUCGAUCACCUUGCUACUCGGGCUACAGCCGAGGGUGAUGUCCUUAUGUAUAGAGAGACUGCCAUUGUAUCUACUUUUGUAGACCCGUGAUGUAUGUGUACUAUUGGGACCUGACUCUAUAGUGGUGAUACUUUUCUUUUAGUUGAGAUUUUGGAUUUUAUACUCCCUGUUCUCUUGUUGUGAGUAUUGUGGACUGUACUUUGCUCUGAUAUCAGGAUAGGAUUAUCUUACCUUUUUACUCCUAUCGACUUGUUUCUUGUAGACGCGACUUAUAUCACCUGCACCGUAAUGGCCGGUCUGUGAACUUAAACUCGGAUUAUGGCUUCCCUGUACGGGCUUUGACAGCAUUGGCCUGUAGUUAACGGUUCUGAUAAUACUUCAGUGGUUUUGAGACGCAAACCCUUGAGUUAACUGUAAGUGAUUCCGGAAUCCAAGCCUACCCGAGUGCAGCGGGCUUGCUAAGUGUAGCAUUUGAGCUAGACAAAGUUCUUGGGCCUGUGGGUGCAUGUGGCAUGUUCCUCUCCCACGCGGGACAGAGACUUCGAGGGCUUGUGAUCUGAGGGCAACGAAGCCAGUGACGGCUACGGUGUAUUGGGCAUGUUCCUCUCCGCCCUACGGGGAUCUCACUGGGCGGGUGUCAUUGCGGCAAUGUCGCUCUCCCACCGGGGGAAUCGCCUUGACCACCGGUGUACGCGCUAACUUUUGGGCGAACCGUUUGCGCGAUGUGGUUCUUGAAAGCCGUAGUUGGAGGUCGGCAUUGUCGAAAGUUCCUUCACCCUCCGAGCAGUGCCGAACAUGAGUGCGGAAUUAUCCCUGUGAUUGACUCAAGACAGAGUCGGGUGGGUAGAGGUGACUUACGUAUGAGUAAGCCUUAAGAAGAAUGGGCAAGUAAAGGAGUUAAGGCUAGCUAAGAAGCAUAAAUACGGCUAAAGACAUAAGGAACNNNNNNNNNNNNNNNNNNNNNNNNNNNNNNNNNNNNNNNNNNNNNNNNNNNNNNNNNNNNNNNNNNNNNNNNNNNNNNNNNNNNNNNNNNNNNNNNNNNNUAACAUACCGUUUCCCCAAUAAGUUGUUCCGAGCUUCCGUCGAAACGAACGAAAUGCGGAUUCGGACGAGUUGGAGAGGUCCGCAAAGUGUUUUAAACGUUCCAGAAUGAAUUAGAGAGGUGUGUGGACCUUGGAGAGCUGCUGGACGAAAUUCUAAAAUUUUCGAAGUUUUGGUGCUCUCGGGGUCCGGACCCUCUGCAGGGUGUGGACCCUAUAGGCGAGAACUGCCCGGUACAGGCUGCCCUGUUUUGAGAAAAAGAGAGGGGCUAAUGUGCAAAUGUGCAUGUGUGUGAGUGUUUAUAAGUGUGGUUAGGGUUGUUAGCCCUCACUUCUCUCACUUCAACCCAACAUGAGAGCUCUCUUUCUCUCUCUAGAUUUCUCUCUCUCUUUCCUUGGGAUGACUCCAAUGGUGGAGACUGGUGGAGAAGAGCUUGCUAGGUGGUGAAGAAACCCUCUCAUGGCAACCUUGCUUGGAGGAAAGCUUCGAUUUGAGAUAAGUAUCCUAAAUUUUGAGGGUUUUGUGGUUAGGGUUUGGUAUUUCCUUCUAGCAUAUGCUUCUAGAGGAUUAUAUGGUGGAUUUCAGCAUGCUUCUGUCACGCCCCGGGAUCCCUUUUUAUUUGAACACAGCGGAAAAAGCGUCUAAAUUUUUUUUUUUUUGAAAACCUGACCCCAGAGUAUGCCAGAUCCGCCACAAAUACAGGGAUUCCACUGUUCACACGGACAGAGUCUUCCCUGUAUUUGCACGGCGUCGCACAAGUACAACAGUACAAACAGGAUACAACCACAACUAAAUGAAUAUAGAAAUAAUUAUUCAUUCAUACAUUCAUACAUUCACCAUUCACAUCACAGAUUUGCAUUUAAUAUUUAAACAUAAAUCCACAGAAAAUUCUUUUGAAAACUGUUUCCUAUACAGAAACCUUUAUCCUUUAAAAGCACUACCACGAGGGGUAGAAAACCUUUCCAUUUCACAAAAUUCACAAAUCCAUUUAUUACAUUCAUGAAAACCCAUAUUUUCAAAUGUAAUAAAAUAUACUGAACCAUAUAAACUAUCUAAGCUAUAUCAACAUAAUAGUAANNNNNNNNNNNNNNNNNNNNNNNNNUGCCAAUAAACGUCUCUUUGACCAAAUGCUGUUGGACUAGAAAAUACAUUCCAUAACAUCAUUAAAACAAGAUCUGGUCAUUCUUCCGCACUCUUAUUACAGUACUAGAGCGCACGACUGUCACCAGGUCUGGCACUGCUGAGCGUAAGUCAAACAAGACAAAUAUUUCUCAAAGCAUACGAACGUUACUUUCGAGCUCUCACCCAAGACAUGGGUAACGAGAAAGCAUUAAUGACACACUUAGUGACAUUAACACCCUUGACAAAGCGAAAGAUAGAUAAACUUUGAAAGUGCUCAGCUCAAAUGUUACGCAUCCCAGAGGAGUACCCAAAUAUCUGACCUGUCUUUGCAAUUUUAAUCUUCCACUAACCUUUGCAAAGUCAGUGCUCGCCUCCAAUCAGGUGCAAAUCUACAAUACCAUUGAGCAGCGAUUAAAUGAAAUGUAAAGUGAACAUCGAAGCCUGUAUAUCCUACCCUAUCAAGAUUUCAGCUCGUGUAAUUUAUCGAACCAUAAGCAUCACAAAAUGAUUUCACAUUAAGGCGACAAUUGAAUCUCAGGAAAUAAAAUCUGUGCUUGAUUUGUGCAAUAAUAUUAGAUUAGCUAGAUCAUGUCACGUAUAUCCCUGUCAAUCUGCAACAAUACAGAAUAUCUCUUGCGUAAUAAAUGCAGUCCAGAUCUCUAUCGAAUAACCUCUCCAUAGCACUAUGGUCGUACUGGCAGGUGAUUCAUCGAAAGUCUGCUCAUGGCAUCAUGAGGCAAAUGCAGUACCGUGAGGCUCAAACGAGCAGCACAAGAAGCGGCAAUUCACUAGGUGAAGACAGAUUCCUCUGACAACUAGUGAACAAACUGUCGUACAACACAUAUUUCGCGACAAAGGAUCGCAAGGUAAUGGUAGAAAUCUAAACUUUUGUGAGAAUACGUGUACGUAUACCAACCUUUGCAAAUUGAUAGAACAACUCAUAUUGAUACUAUUCUAGCAUACACAUAGGAAAGAUACAUCAAUCAAGAUCCCAAAUAAAUGAUCAUAUUAGCCUGUAUCGUCGGCCAAUAAAGCUACAAAUGCUAUUGCCCUCUGGCAAAGCGAGAUACAAUAACAAGCGAAUAAGACCAAUACAAGUGGCAGUUAAGAGGACGUAUCCAACAUUUUAUGCCUGCAGCAUCUUCUAAUCUAGGAAUCAGAUCCUCACACGUGCUGGCGCCGUGCCAUGAGUGUCUAUGCUCUUGAGUGAUGUGAACACGCCCGAGUCGUGUGAGAUUUCCAGCCUGAACCAGUUCGAGACGACAAUGUUAAUCUUGCUCUCUGUACCCCCAAAAAGAUAACUUAAAACAUGUCAUCUCACUAUUGCUUGAGGAAAUGACUAGUUAAGCAUUUUGUUCGCAAACUCUAGACUGAGCUGCACGACCAUAUAGAACAACUCGUCCAGUGCAUGUAAUCGUUUCUUCUCCACUACAAACCAUCACGCCACGUCUAUGGAUAUCAACUCUCCGUGCUCUAGGGGUGCUCAAUACGUGAGGACAAAUAGGUGAUGAAGGGUCUGUCGUCACCUCAGUCAGGGCAACCAACUGUGCACGUCAGCAUCAGGGGAUGCGCAUGCCUAGGUCGCGACACCGUCGCUCCAACAACAGGGGUGCACCUCGCCUCCGGUCUGUCGGGCCUGCUCUCCAUGUCGAGGUACUCUGCUCACAUCUGCUCAGGUCUCUCAGGGGCAUCCCGCACGAUCCCCGCGCCAACUGGGCACCUCUCGCACGACGGUCGACCUCGGCGAUGAUACAUAGCUGAAAGAACAAAUCGGGGUCAGAUACAACCGCACACUACUCCGACCCAAUCAACGAAAGUCUAUGAAGGUGGUCCCUGUUUCCUCCAAAAUACGUCGUCUGCAGGCAAAUAAUUUCUCAGGCCAAAACAGAACUCCUUCAAUCACUCACGACCCACUCUAGGAGGAGUUAGAAUCGGAUAACAUUGACUUUCGGCAAUAAAAUUACCCUCUACGGCGUCUUACUUUCCUAAAAGGUUUGCCCAAUUAAGGUUCUGCCUCAGGUCCCAACGACCCUAUAGCAACGGCUCCUGAUAUAACAUUAAAAUCUGUCACGCCGCCGAUAUCUCGUUCCCGGCAUGUGGCGCCGACAAAUCCGCCGUAUACAAAAGGAAUUUCCCGCUGUAUACGAAGCGCAAAGUACUGAAGAAUAUACGAUACUAACAUACAGUAGCAUAGAGCCUCAACAAAGACUAAAUAAUGAGUUCAUAUACAUAGCUAGAAUCCAAAAUACAAGGCGCUACUCGCAUUGGCGAGUCUAAACAACUAUGUAGCAUAACUCCAAAACAACAACUAACCUGGGGCAGUAGGGAAGCCCUCGUAGCUCUGACUGUCGGGUAGGGCUCUAGCUGCGCAACGCCUCCUCGCUCGAUCCUGGUCGUCGGAAGAUGCAGCAGCCGGCACCUGUGACUACUACAAAAACAUAAGUAACACGAGGCACCGUCGUGAUUGAAUUCCGAACCGAAACCUGCGUUCUAAGUCGACGGAUUUCGCCGAAAAACGCAUCGAAAAUCACUUUUCGAUUCGCGCAAGGGCUUGGGGCCUUGGACGAUCAGUCCAGAGGUUAUCGCUCGAGCCCAAACAUGCUGCCUAACAGCAAUCUACACGAAGCAAAGUCCUAAAAGCCGCCAUACCGAUACAUGAAAUCCGCAUCAUUUUAUGGUGCUUUCUAGCUCUUUUCUGUGACGCGUGCACACAAACGCAGAGUCGAUUAUACCGACGUCGCACUUUGCUGACAGGUUUCAUCAGUCGGAGGCCCGUGCUCCUACCUUCGGACACUGCGGACCACUGCGGUGCGCGCCGGAGUGACACAAUUAUGAAACCAGUGCGCACAGCGCGAAAGGUCGCGACUAACUUGCUAACCAGUACAUUUUUGCUCGCUGUGAGUGAGCAUCGUGUUCAGGCACGACACCCUAGACCAUCGUGCUCAUUUCUCCGGGUGUCGGGAAGUCAUCGGAUCACCGGAAAGGUGCCAGAAAGCUUAAUUUGCAAUGCUGGAACUCAAAAGCAGGCAUACCGGAGCAGUUGGGAGCUAGGGUUUGGUCGCACGGGCGGCGCGGAGGGCGGGCACUCCGGUGGGAUGGAGCAGACGGUCCGACGAGGCCCGGGGAGGGUGCUGGCCGGCGCGCGGGCGGCAAACUCGGUGGGCGCGGACGGAGAUCGACUCCGCGCGCAGUCCCCUCUCGAUUGCUAAUGGCUUCCGCGGCGGCAGGCGACGAGGAGAAGUCGGGCGGGCUUACGGUGCGCCGGGCGGCCGGGCGCGAGGGGAGGGCGGUGCACCCCUGGUGGGCGGCGGCGGCGCUUGGAAGCCGAGAGCGGGCCCGACCUCAGGCCCGCACAGGUCUGGCGCCACGAGAAGGUUCACGUGGCGGGCGGCGCGCGCGGGACGGCGGAGGACGCGCACGUCCGGUUGCCGGAGGUCGCCGGCCAAAAGGAGGCACGUCGUGGCCGAGAGGAAGCGUGGUCGCAGAGUGCUUGAGCCGGCUCGGACAGGCUGACUCCGAGUUGGCCGCAGGAGAGAGGGUGGCUCCGGCGGCGCUCGGGUGGCCGGGGCCGCGGGGGAAGCCGGGGAAUGGGUCUCGGCCAGGGAAAGAUGGGCUCGGCUUUGGAUCUUCCCCAACACAGACGGAUCGAAGAUGUGGCAAGUCGGGGCUAGAGGGGAACCGGAGAGAAGGUUGGGGUGGCUUUUCCGGCAGCGGAGCAGCUCGCCGCUGCCGGGGCGUGAGCACUGGUUGGGCAGUGGUGGAGCGGGCCGGCGCUGUAGCAAGCUAGAAGAAAUUAGGGUUAGGGUCCCUGGUUGAACCUUAGAACUAUUUUUAUUCUAUGUGUACAAUUGCGGAGAACACCCUCCUAGUCAAGUAAUUCUUACAAGCCCGCGCGCCAGCAUGUGGAUUAUGCGUAUAGGGUCGCCUCGAACUUCCGAAUUCGCAGCAAGACCACGCAAAAAUAAGUUGGACGCUUUUCGCGAAUAAUCGAUUUUGCCAACCUUGACGUCUCUCAGGCGGAACUUUUCCGAUUCCGAAAGAUCGUUCGUCGGGAUUUCGAUCCGACUGAGCCAAUUCGGCGUUCAGUAGCAAACGGGAGCACGGAAACUACGAUUUCAAUUCUUAUCAUCCAAUUUGGCAGGCUUUCGCGACGGAACCCAUCCGCUCUCUAAUUAAUCCAUAUAUCGUACGUAUACCAAUGUGUAAACCCAUUAAACCAACUUUCGCAUUAGAAAUUGACUUCCCUACCACUAGUAGGGACCCGAAACAUUCUUCACCCUACUCCAGGUCACAAGCACGGAGCACGAGAAGCUUUAGAAUGCACAAAAAAAGCAAAGAGCGAAAACCCUCUUUUCGGUAAAACUCCUUUUUCUCGAAAACCGUGCAUCAGAUCUAAAAUCCGUCAGUGCCAUUGGUUUCAGAAUAGCUGAACCGAUCGAAACGAGCUAUUGGAUCGCUAUGAACAGAGUCCGAUACAUGCCGAAAGCCAACUCUACUCCGUAGCUUCUCCGAAAAAAUCGGGUUACUAUUCACUUUAAGUGAAAACUAAUAAUCACGUAACUUCUCCGUUCUAGCUCAUUUUCUCCUGAAACUUGAUGAGUGCUUAUGUAAUUAAAUUACACACAUAAACAUCAUCAACAGAGAGUUUAGUUGCACUGUAAAAAAUCUCAGUCCUUACAGCUUCUCUAUAUCUAGGGACCUAAUUGGAGAAGAUGAUUAAGUAGAGGGGCUUAUGUUAGGGUUUGGUUCAAAUGAGAUCCAAAUGAGUGAUUGAUCUUUUGUUACCCUAAUUGCUAGGCAAGCGAAUGUGUUGGUGAACUCGGUUCGGCGAUCCAACAAGUCUAUGCGGAGAAAUAAAAGGAAAAGCCUGUUUUGGCUCAGUUUUGCUGCAGUCGAGAGAAAUCGGCGUCCAAAAAUCGCGGGACUUGAAUCGUGGUCUUCUAGCAUCACUACAGGUGAGGGGUGCUAUCCGGAAUCGUUGAAUUUUUUUCUAUGUCUAUGUCGCCUUUUCUUGAGCAUAUAUGUGCGUUAUGACAUUCAUGCAUUGCAGAGUGGUGGGCUAUUGUUGGGAAUUAUGUAUAUGCUUUCAAUGUUGGUGAAUAUAUGAAUUGAUUAGUGGACCAUACACGUGAACCCUAUGAAUGUACGAAAUGAAUGUGGACUAUGAUUGUAGUAAACAAGGGUGACAUUGACAUUAGCUAAAAUGAAUUAUGUUGUAUGCUAGAUAAGGUAAAACCUUAAAAGCAUUGUGAGAUGUUGGAUUAUAAUGUUAGUAAACAUUAUGGGCAUUGAUAAAUGUUGAACUAUAAUAAUAAUGAGUAUUGUGGCAAGUGUGGCCCUGGAUAUUGUGGCUUGGUGAUAUUAGUGGCAUUAUGACAAUGUAACAUAGUGACCUUAUGUCACGCCCCGGGACCCAGCGGAAGCCCGCCCGGCGCGUGCUCAGACCCGCCAUACGUCUAAAACGUAUAAGGCGUCUAAGAACAACAAUAAUAAAAGCAAUAAUAAAAGACAUUUAGGAGUAUCAGAGCAUAAUAAAUGUCUAAAUGCUAUAACCAGGGAUAAGGAUAAAACUGUAAAUCCACUAAAUAAAACAUAAAGUGAUACAAGGAAAUCCCAGAUACAAGUGCUAUAGGUAGAUACAUAGGUGGUCUCUAUACAUGGAUACAAAAACCUCUCACUCUCUCUACUACAAAAAGAAAGAGUAAACCACCUAGGCAAAGUACCGCUCCUCACUAGCUAGCUAAGCGAUCCCCUUGCCGCGAUCCCGUGCCUCCGCCGGUGCCGAAGGCUCUGAAAGUAAACCAUAAAACAGGGGCGUGAGAACUAUUAAAAAUAGUUCCCAGUGGGCAAUUACUGACUUCAGUGAAUGCACCACGAGGCCCAAAGCUACAAAAGAUGUCAGUGACUAACAAUGUAGUAAAGCGAAAGGUAAGUAAAAUGUAACUCACUAUAACAUGGAAUUUCUACUUAGCAUGAUUUGCACAAGUAAUGAAGCAACGAUAUCAUGAAUGUACAAGGAUGUGUAUGACAUGCAUAAGCACAGAAAUUCAACUAAUCCGAUGUUCUCAAUGCAGAAAUAGUAAAGAUGCCAUUGUUUACUAUUCUAGCCCAAGUUCACUUUAAUAGUUUUAAAGUUCACAUAGCACGUUCUGUCACUAAGUCCCAAUCAUAUAAGACCCACCCGAAGGCUGUCUGGCCUGCGCCGUGCCUAAUGGCCCCGUGGUAGUCAACAUCCCCACUCUAGGAAUGAGCCUCCCCCACGGCAAUCCACUUCGGCGCCCAAUCCCGCACGGCGAGCAUGUGUCGCGAUGGCUAUCUCCGGAGUGCCGGCUUGUAGGGAGCGACCCUCACAAGCAUGUGCGAAUGAGCACAAAUGGCAAGCAAACAAUGAUCUGUCUCAAGUACCAAGUCCUCAUGUCUAAAAAUAUGGAAUAUAUCAAGUAUCUCAAUGGCCUAUCUCUAUGUCAUCAUGUCUCUAACAUGGAAUAUAGCAGAUACGUAAUGGCCUAUCAAUAUGUCUCUAUGUUGCAGUUUAAAUGUUUACUAGUUCCCAAGUGCCUCUUGAUGACACUUUUUGCUACUAAGUUCAAAUAUAGUAUAAUGUUUCCCAUACAUGAACAUGAGCUAAAUUAGCAUACUAGACGAGAAUCUCAUUCGUCCACAUGAACCCACCCCACAUGCAUGACAAUAACCUUAAUUACUCUACCAUAUAGAGUGAAAUUUAACUUACACAUAGGGCAUGUAUUUUAGGUGUUCUAAAAUUCACAUAAAUUCCAAUUAGCAUAGGAAUGCAUUUAAAAAUAAUUUACGAAGAGUUUAAAAUGAAUAGGGGCCAUUUCGCCCCAUCUCCANAAAACUCUUGCAACUCUUCGUAAGCUCCGACGAAGAUGCCCACUAGCCUCCUAGCACCCUAAAGAUGUAGGAACAAGGGUUAAACGAACCUUACGAUUAACCCUAAACUCAAUCAAUAAGCAACAUAGGCUAAGAUGGAGAAAAACUCACCUAGGUGAAGAAAUUCUCUCUCUAGCUCCAAAUGGGAGUUAGAGUUCUUCAAAUCCAACCUAAAUAAAGGUUCCAAACCCAUCAAUUAGGUCUCAAAACCCCCAAAUCCAAAAACCCCCAAAAUAAACCCUAAAUCCCAAAAUCCAGGGUUUCAUCUAGUAAAACCUAGAAAAACUGUAUCAAAUGGGGAUUACAAGCUACCAACCUCAAAAGAAGCUCCAAUCCAAGCUCAAAACCAAGUAGGGUUGAAGUUUGAUCCUCCACAAAGCUCCAACCGCAAGUUCCAAGCCACCAAAGUGAGAAAUGGGGAAGAAGAUGAUGCUCCAAAGCCUCCAAGCAAGCUCCUUCUCUUCUUCUUCUUCUUCUUCUUCUUCUUCUUCUUCUCCCUCUCUUCUUCUCUCUCUAGAAUAGGUGGGAAGGGAAGAAAUGAGGAGAGAAGAGGGUGAAAUGGCCAAAUAGGCCAUUAAAAGCAACAAAAUCCACUUAGGUCCCUCAAAAACUCAAAUUUACAUCAGCCCGGUCUGGGCAGUUUUCGCCCAGAGGGACCGGUCUCCCCGACCUGGGAUCGGUCUCUCAGCCUGCCCCCGAAAAUCCAACGUUCGGGAACCGGUCUCUCCCUGCGCGGGACCGGUCUCUCCCCGCGCAGACGUGCUCGGGGACCGGUCUCAACUGCCAGGGACCGGUUGCCUCGCCGGCUGCGCAGCACUGUUCACUGGGGGACCGGCCUCUCCUAUCAGGGACCAGUCCCUGAGAGUAAAAACUCUCAGGACUCAGCCAAAACUCUCGAGAUCGAACUUUUAGGCCGGUAUACCAUCGACGGCCCUCCACCAAGUGUGGAAAUGUUCGGAAUACAAAUCGAACACUCGAACCUCGCAAUUUGCAAAGGUCCAGUGUGCUACACCUUAUGACAUAAUAUGCUAGGGAGGGUAAACCCUUAUGAGCAUUAUGAGAAUUGUGGCAAGAGUGGCCAAGUAUGUGACAUACUAGACAAGGUAAAAUCCUUUUAUGCAUUGUGGCAAUAUAGCAAGUGUGGCUAUACGUCCUCAAAUUGAGGAUUGGAUCGAUAUUCACAUUGAGUCUUGGCUUGAGGAAGGUAGCUCCCCCUCGAGCGGUUCGCUCCGGAGUUGGUCACCACUGGACGAGGUAAAGUCCCCUCAGAAGACGGUCCCUCGGGCAUGGUAAAGUCCCCUCGAUCGAUAGGAAUUUUGGGUUGUGAGUUUUGGGGUUAACAAGUGUUAACCGGGUUGAUUGGGUAAAAGCCAAGGAAAGUGAAUGUGAAAAAGUAUGCAUGCAUUAUCAUUAUGAUUAUCUUACUUGUUGGAUUUAUUAUUGUUUAGGCAUUGUAAUAGCUUUGUAUUAGUUGGUUUGCAAUCUAUCUAUUAUUUUCUUACAUAUGCCUGAGUAGACCUAGUGGGCGAGUCGGCGGUGUUAGCGGCCGAACCAUUGGAAACUUUGUUGUAAUUCUCAUCCCACUAACCAUGCAGGUUCUAGCGCGAGCAGGGCGAUCGUGGCUCGUGGCAUGGUUAUCGUGCUCUAGGUAGCGGACUACCAUUGUGUAUAGAGCCACCCGUUGUAUUUCAUCUAUUAUGUUCGAUGAAUGAAAAUGUAAUAAAAUCAUGUAAGAGAUGGUAAUGUAUAUUGGAUGAAUGAUUGUAAAGCAAAUGUAUAAGCUUUGUAUUUGAUUGAAAGUGAUCAAGUUACAAUGUAUGAUGUAAUAGUUAGAUUGCUUUCACUUGUGGUUGUUGUUGCUUGCUCUCGAGCAAGCAAUGUAUACUCGCAUUCUUAUAUUUGAAUUGUUACUGUUACACAUGUGUUGGUAGAGCCUUGGGCGGACAGGAGAGGUGCUGUCCGUUCGGCGUCUGUUGACGUGCCCGAACCGACCAAAUUGGCGGUCGUAGGGCGUGACAGGGGGCCAAUUGCAAAAAAAGCCUUGAGUUUUAUUUUGGCCCACAGUGGCGUAAAUGCGAUGGUGAUAUAUAUAUAUAUAUAUAUAUAUAUAUAUAUAUAUAUAUAUAUAUAUAACCGUGCCCUCAAUACCAGCCGUGGAAUUUCGCAUCCACGACUAUUGUGGCGUGACGAGAGAAAGGAAUCUGCAACUACAGAAGCCGUUCGUUUCCGCAUAAAAUUGUAAAAACAUAGUUUUGUUCGUGACCUCGCCCUUCAUACCAGCUGUCGGAUUUUUCAUCCACGGUUGUUGUCGCUUGAUGAGAAAAAAAAAUCCGCAAUCCCAGGAGCUGUUUGUUUUCACACAAAAUUUUGAAAGGAUGAUUUUUGUAAUGACCAUGCCCUUUGAUACCAACCGCUGGAUUUCUCAUCCACGGCUGUUGUUGCGUGACGAGAGAAGGGAAUCCCCCAUCUCAGAAGUUGUUUGUUUCCAUGUAAAAUUUUGAAAAAAAUAAUUUUGGCGAUGACCAUCAUACUAGCCGUAGGAUUUCUCAUCCAUGGUUGAGAAAAAGAAUUCAUAACUUCAGGAGCUGUUUGUUUCCACAAAAAAAAAAAUGGAAAAGAAUUUUUGGCGCCACCAUGACCUUGAUACUAGAAGGAGUUGUUUGUUUUCGCAUAAAACUAUAAAAAAAAUAAUAACUCUUUAGCAUUUUUUUUUUUGAGAGAAAGGUAGCAUGCUACCCGCUUCGUUUAUUUCAUUUAGAAAUAACUUAGCUGGAAAUGUGAAUCAACUAGGAUUUGAACUUGGGUCUCGGGUAUCAACCACCAAGUCCUUUUGCCACUUGCGCCAGGGACGGUCGGUAACUUUCUUUAGCAUUAGUGCCUGUUCGUAUUGGUUGGAAAAGUAUAUACAAAUUUUACAUAUAAAAUUACAUGGCCAAUUUGCAUAAAAAAUUCAUAAAUUUUGAGCUUUUGCAAAACUGGGCUGCCUUUUUUUAUUUUGCAGAUUCGGUCCGAAUUUUCAGCAAACUGACCAAAAUACCCUUAUUACUUUUUCUCUCUCCUCUUUCUCUCUCAUCUUCUUUUCUCUCGUUUAUUUUUUUUUCUCUCGCCGAAGAAAGCAGCGGAGGUAGAGGCAGAGGCGGAAACGGCCCACCUAGCCUCUCACCCUUAUGCUCUCGCCCUCGUCUUUUACCUCGCCCGCGCACCCCCCACCUUCCUCGCCUACUACCCGUCGAGCCCGCGCCGCUACUCUUUUUUUUUUUUUUUUUUUUUUUUUUNNNNNNNNUUUUUUUUUCUCUCUGACUCUCCUCCACCGUCUCCGACGACGACGCCUCUCUCGCCCUUCCCCGCCCUUCUCGUCCUCUCCUUCUCCCUCCUCCUCUGUUGUCUCCGACGACGACGCAUCUUCGUCGACGCCGACACCGUGAAAGUCGCUGCGGCGCUGCACCCUCGGAGCGGCGGGUCCUUAACGGCAUCGUCGCCGGCGCUGGCGUCGUGGCCGUUGGCAGAGAGGGAUGACAAAAAAAAAUUAUAGAAGAAGCAAAAAAAAAAAGAUAAAAAAUUAUAGAAAAAGAAAGAUGAAAAUAAAAUUGCAUCGUAAAAAUAAAAUUACACUAUUUUAAAAGAACGUUGCACUAUUAUGAACAUAAGUUGCAUUAUUUAAGAUGUAAACUGCAGUUUUAAGAUAAAAAUUACACUCUUUAAAUGAAAAUUACAUUCUUUGGGAGAUAUUUAUAUUGUUUCUCCUCUUAUUGUACUCUUUCAGAUGUAAAUUGAUUCCAUUAAGAUAAAAGUUAUAUUUUUUAAACGAAAGUUGCACUCUUUGAGAGAUAUUUGCAUUAUUUUUUCUCUUCUUGCACCAUUUGAGAUGUAAACUGCAUCUCUUUAAGAGAUAUUUAUACUGUAUCUCUUCUUGUUGCACUGUUUUUUUUCUUGUUGCACUAUGUCUCAUCUUAUUGCACUGUUUCUCCUCUUAAAGGUGCAGUUUAAGAGGAAAAACAGUGUAACAAGAGGAGAAAUAGUGCAGCAAGAGGAGGAACAGUGCAACAAGAGGAGAAACAGUAUAAAUAUCUCUUAAAGGGAUGCGGUUUAAAUCUCAAUGGGUGCAAGAAGAGAAAAAAUAGUAUAAAUAUCUUUCAAAGAGUGCAACUUUAGUUUAAAGAGUGUAACUUUUAUCUUAAUAGAUGCAGUAUACAUCUAAAAGAGUGCAAUAAGAGGAGAAACAGUGUAAAUAUCUCCAAAAAGUGUAAUUUUCAUUUAAAGAGUGUAAUUUUCAUCUUAAAGCUGCAGUUUACAUCUUAAGUAGUGCAACUUAUAUCCAUAAUAGUGCAACGUUCUUUUAAAAUAGUACAAUUUAUUUUAACGAUGUAAUUUUAUUUUCAUCUUUCUUUUUCUAUAAUUUUUUAUAUUUUUUUUUUCUUGCUUCUUCUAUAAUUUUUUUUUUAUCACCCCCCUCUGCCAACGGACACGGCGCCGGUGACGACGCUGCUAAGAACCCUCCGCUCCGAGGCUGCAGUGCCGCAGCGACCUUUACGGUAUCGGCGUCGGCGAAGAUGCGUCGUCAUCAGAGGCGGCAGAGGAGGAGGGAAAGGGAGAGGACGAGAAGGUCGGGAAAGGGCGAGAGAGGCGUCGUUGUCGAAGACGGUGGAGGAGAGUCGGAGAGGAAAACAAAAAAAUGAGUCGCGGUGCGGUCUCGGCAGGGUCGGAGGCGAGGAAGGUGGGGGUGCGCGGGGGCGGGUGCGGGCGCGGGCGAGGGCGAGAGCAUGAGGGUGAGAGGCGAGGUGGGCCAUUUCCGUUUCCACCUCUGCCUCCGCUGCCUCUUCGGCGAGAGAAAAAAAAUUGAACGAGAGAAAAAAAAAAAAGGAGAGAGAAAGAGGAAAGAGAAAAAGAUAUAAAGGUAUUUUGGUUAGUUUGCUGAAAAUCUGGUCCGAAUCUACAAAAUCGAAAAAAGUGGUCCACGUUUGCAAAAGCGCAAAACUAGUGGAUUUUUUAUGCAAAAUGACCAAAUUACAUUACAUAAUUUUAUUUUCUAUAUUAAAUUAUAUAAAUAUAAAAAAUUUAUUUAUAUAUCCCUAACAGGUGGAGGAAGAAAAUAUUCUCGUGCACCCAAUCUACCGCAUCAUCAGCCAUGUAGGCACAAUAAAUUAUUCUUCAAUUUUUUUUAUUAGGUUAUGUUAGUACAUCAGAAGCAGAUAUUCCGAUAAAUCUUAUUCGGCACAAAAUUUUUCUUACAUGGUUAGAAUUUAGAAGUUUAAUUGCCGUUGGUAUUCAUGAUUGUAUAGAAUUAUAUAUUUUAUCUUCGAAAUGAUUUACUUUAUUUCACAAAAGCUUAAAACAAAAUAUUAUAUUCAUUCUUUGAAUUUGAUCCUCUUGUCAUCUAUCAAAUUUUAUAUACGGGAUUUUUUUGCAUCUAGCCCCUUAAAAAAAAUUAUUUUAAAAAUAGCCUCAAUAAAUUUAUAUUUGUACUUUUGGCCCUGACCCUACCACGCAGAUGCCACGUCAGCGUCACACCAGCGGGGCUGGGCCAGGGUGUUAAGUUGAAUACGGUGAACCAUUCACCGUGGCCAAACACGGUAAAUGGUAUACUGUGUCUAGAGAAAAUACAAAUAUAUGUAUUUUUUGCAAUAUAAAUAUUGAAAAGAGGAAUAAAUAGUAAGGAUGUCAAUAGGUAUGGAUAUCUGAAAUAUUAUCCGAACCCAAACCCUAAUAAAUUAUUUAUAUACAUAAUUUAUUUUUAUUUUUGACCAAUUUGCAUAAAAAAUCCACUAAUUUUGGGCUUUUGCAAAAGUGGGCCACCUUUUUCGUUUUUGCAGAUUCGGUCCUAUUUUUCAGUAAACUGACAAAAAUACCUUUAUAUCUUUUUCUCUCUCCUAUUUUUUUCUCUCUCGUUCUUUUUUUCUUUCUCUUCCUAGAGAGCGGCGGAGGCGGAAGUGGAGGCGGAGGCGGUUCGCUUCGGUUUUCUCCGGCGCAUCCUUACCCUCACCUGCACCACCCCCCCUGCCUUCCUCGCCUCCGACCUCACCGAGACCGUGAUGUGACUAUUUUUUUUUCCCUCUCCGACCCUCCUCCACCGCCUCCGACGACUAUGCCUAUCUCACCCUCUCUCGCCCUUCUUGCCCUUUCCCUCUCCCUCCUCCUUCACCUCCUCCGCCGCCUCCAACGACGAUGCCUCUCCGCUGACAUCGGCGCCGCGGAGGUCGUUGUGGCGCUGCAGCCUAGGAGCGGGGGGUUUUUAGCCGCGUAGUCGCCGGCGCCAUGGCUGUUGGCGGAGAGGCGUGACAAAAAAAAAUUAUAAAAGAAGGAGGAAGAAAAAAAUAAAGACAAAAUAUUAUAUAAGAAGGAAGAAGAAGAUGAAAUUGUAUUGUUAAAAUAAGAUGACACUAUUUUGAAACAAAUUUGUACUAUUUUAAUAAAAAUUAUACUAUUUGAUAUAGAAAUUACACUCUUUUGGAAUAGAUUUUACACUCUUUAGGCUAACGUUGCACUAUUUAGGAGAAUUUUGCACCAUUUCUUUUUUUUUUCUUUUUCUUUUUCUCUUCUCCUUCUUCUUCUUCCGCUGCUGCCUCCCGCCCGGCCCGAGGUCCCUUCCCGUUGUCAGGGCCCUGGAGCGGGGAGGCGCCCUCGUCGCCGGCGACUUUCGGGGCAGUUGGCGGCCCCGGAGCCUGCCGGCGGGUACUUCGUCGCCGUCGCUGCUGCCGUCGCCGUGGACGGCGAGGCCGCCCUAGUUGAUGGCGACCUUCUCGACGAGGCCUACAGAAGGGCGACGGCGCGAUCGGCCCCGCGCGGGGAGGCGCUCCUGAUCUCGGCCCGGGCGAGCGAGAGGCAGCAGCAGAAGAAGAAGAAAAAGAGAAAGAGAAAAAGAAAAUGAAAAGAAAUGGUGCAAAAUUCUCCUAAAUAGUGCAACAUUAGCCUUAAGAGUGUAAAAUCCAUUACAAAAGAGUGUAAUUUCUAUAUCAAAUAGUGUAAUUUUUAUUAAAAUAGUUCAAAAAAAUCCUAGCAAUAAUCUUUUAAAAAAAUUGCAUGAGUUUCAAAAGGAAAGAUAGGUGUCGAAUUUAUUUUAAAACAGUGUAAUCUUAUUUUAACAGUGCAAUAUCAUCAUCUUCUUCAUUCUUAUAUAAUUUUUUGUCUUUCUUUUUUUCUUCUUCCUUCUUUUAUAAUUUUUUUUUGUCACGCCUCUCCGCCAAUGGCCACGGCGCCGGCGACGCUGCCACUAAAGACCCCCCGCUCUGAGACUGCGGUGCCGCAGCGACCUCCGCGGCGCCGAUGUCAACGGAGAGGCGUCGUUGUUGGAGGCGGUGGAGGAAGCGAAGGAGGACGGAGAGGGAAAAGGCGAGAAAGGCGAGAGAGGGUGAGAUAGGCAUCGUCGUCGGAGGCGGUGGAGAAGGGUCGGAUAGGGGAAAAAAAAAAGUCACAGCGCAACCUCGGUGGGGUCGGAGGUGAAGAAGGCGGGGGGUGCGCGGGCGAGGGUAAGGAUGCAUCGAACAAAACCGAAGCAUGCUACCUCCGCCUCCGCCUCUACCUCGGCCGCUCUCUUGGAAGAGAAAGAAAAAAUGAACGAGAGAAAAAAAAAAAGAGGAGAGAGAAAAAGGUACAAGAGUAUUUUGGUCAGUUUGCUGAAAAAUCGGACCGAAUCUACAAAAACGAAAAAGAUGGCCCACUUUCACAAAACCCCAAAAUUAGUGGAUUUUUUAAGCAAAUUGGCCUUUAAUUUUUUAUACAAUAUAUAAAAUAUUUAAUAAUUUUUAUUCCUUAGAUCUUCAUCCAACGGUAUAGAUUUUUAAAACCCGCCAGGUUCGGGUUUCGAGUUUUUGGUCGGGUAUAGAUAUGGGUAUGGAUUUUUAAAACCCAUCGGGUUCGGAUCCGGGUUUGGGUUUUAAUUUGAUUUUCGGGUUCGGGUUCAGGUUUUUGAAAAUCUGGCCCGUUGACAUCCCUAAUAGGGAGAAUAUAAGUACGGAAUACGGUGAAUCAUUCACCGUGCUUGAACACGGUGAAUGGUUUACCGUGUCUAGAAAAAAUAUAUGUAUUGCGAAAAAUAUAAAUGUUGAAAAAGAGAAGAAAAAAAAAAAAAUGAAACACCGUGUUUGAACACGGUGAAUGAUUCACCGUGUUCAACUUGCCAAGCAGGCCCCAGCUCGCUCAUGUGGUGCUUGCGUGGCGCCUGCGUGGCAGGAUAGGGCCAUUUUUUUAAAUAUAAAUUUGUUGGGACUAAUUUUAAAAUAAAUUUUUUUCAGGAGACCAUUUGCAAAAAAAAACUCAUAUUUUUAUUAUCUUAUAUAAUAUUCAUAACUAAUAAAUUUAUUAAUUUAUUAAAUUAUUUUUAAUUAAUACUUUGAUGUUAAUUAAUUAGAUAAAUUAUUUUUAAUUUAAAAUUAUAACACUUAUUCAUCUUAUUCCAAUCUAACUAUUCAAAUAUUAUUUAUCUUAGUAGGAAUAAAUUUAAUUUUCUUUUAAAUACAAAAAAAAUCUAAUUGUUGCUUAUAUCUAAAUUUAUAUUUAUUUUUUAAAUAAAUAAAUUUUUAUUUAUAUUCGAAUCAAAUGCAGCGUAAGAGAAAACCGCACCACAGGUGGGUGACCACUCUCUUUUGGAAUCCGCCCCGUUUGCAUUCUGAUUAAACCUACAUCAACAUUCGGGCCCUCCGCUGCUCCAGCUUCGGCAAAAGCUAACCGGUUCCCGAGCACACUCCAUCCUCCUUAUCCGCUCGUUCCCACCCUACUGCUCACUCCGCCCCCCGCGCCCGCUUCGUCGCCCGCCGCUCCGAGUCCAUCUCCGUCCGCCAGCUCCAGCGCCCUCUCAGUAUAUCAUCAUCACCAUCAUCAUCAUCAUUCUCUUCCGUCCGUUAAUCCCCACCACCCCUUCCCCCCUUCCAAACCUCUCUUCUCAAUUUCUAAUGCUGUGAUGCUGCUGUCUUGUUGUUCUGCAGUCGAGUACAUGCGGCUGCCGGCCAGCCAGUACUCCGUGCUGGACGCCGAGCGCAUCGAGCGCGUCGACGACCGCACCUUCCGCUGCUACGUCUACCGCAUCAAGUUCUUCGCCUUCGAGGUCUGCCCCGUCCUCCUCGUCCGCGUCGACGAGCACCCCUUCGGCUGCUGCAUCACCCUCCUCUCUUGCAAGGUACCUUUUACCAACCACUCCUGCUCCUCCCCCCCUUGCCUUUUUCCUUUUUCUUGAAUAAUAAUUUCGAUUGAGAAAUUCUUGCCGAAAUGCUAGUUGGAGGGCUCCCCGCUCGUCGAAGCUCAGAAUGAUAAAUUUUCAGGUAAUCUUCGCUUUCUGUACUGCGGCUCUCUUAAUUUCGCUUCAAGAAGAUUCAUAUCGAAACGGAUAUCUAUCUCGUAGAAUUGCCAAAGAUCUGGUUUGUUUGUUUGAUGGGGGAAAGUAGCGGAAGCGGCAGUAACGAACUUUCAACUUUCUGCGGAUUUGUUGUAUCAAAUGGCUUCGAAAGCAAUGUCGACAGAACUAUGUUCGACUGAACGUCAGCCCUCGGUUUGGAUACUGUUGGUUGUUUCUUAGCAGACAAGGAGGAGAUCAUUGUUGAUCCGAGGAGAUCAAUGCCGCUAAUACCUUUUAAUAGGAGCCCAUAUAAAGCUUUUUAUUUGUGGACAGCGUCAAAUUAGCUUGAUUGCUUUUGUGCGCCCUUGAACUGGAAAAGAAUAGGUUGGGUCUUAUGUAGGUCGAGUAUUGUACGAUCCCAAUAGUGCUCCUGUGUGGAGAAGGAUCCAACUUUUAGAGAGCGGAGUGGCCGGUUAAACUGGGUUGAUUAGGAAGUGGUUUGACUGCUGUUUCGGUCGGACUUUAAGAAUCGUUUCAUGAAAAAUUUGUAAAUUGGGUCGUGAGCUGGCUAAAACGGCUGGUUGGUUAGCCCUGUUAGAAUGAAAAGCAAAUAAGAAACACUGCAAUCUGUGCAUUGUUGUUCAAACUUUGAACCUUCCAGAUAAAAGGUGAGACAACUAGCUCUGUUAGCACGACAAAUUUACACGUGUCAAAUUAACUAUAUAUUAUAAUAUAGUUCAACCCCAUUUCAACCCUGGUUGAACCUCUAAUCCUUAGACUCUUUGGUGGUUCGAUGGCUGGGUUAGUUCAAGGAUCUUGAAGUGGGUGGACUUUCUUUUGCCCUUCCCACCACCCUUAACUCAUUUGCGUACUUCAUUUGGGAUUUUAUUUGAUUCUUCAUUUAAGAGUUCUAAGCAUGAAUAUCGAUAAUGUGAGUUUAAGUCUCCUGAAGUUUGAGAACUUGAAUUUGACGAAGAUAGGUUAUAGGAAGAUAGGAGUGUACGGAAUUUGUGGUGGCUAGUUAUUACAAGAAUGUUGGUUGGGUUGUUGGAAUGUUGAGAGAGGAUAGUUAGGUAGGUUUUGGCUGUAGGGGAGGAUUAGUUUGAGCUUGAACAGGAGUGGGUUUGUUGGGAUUGAUAGUAAAUAAUUAAAGAUCAUAUAAGGUGGGAUAGUUUGCUAGUGGUGGACUUGAAGUUAGGGUUUUAGAAGAGGAAUAAGUUGGGUUCUUAUAAUAGUAGCUAUAAGUUUGCUGACUAUAAAUAAAUGGUUGGUGAAAGCUUCAGUUGGAUUUUGAAUAUGAAAAUUGAAAUUGUGGGAGAAUAGAGUGGGCAAUUGAAUCUUUUGAAAAAUUGGUGGGGAGAGCGAAUCUCAUCAAAUGAAACUGUUGGCUUGAAGGAUAGAAACAAUGUUAGCAUUCACCUUUGUGAUUACAUAAGUAACCAAGAAAAAAAAUGCACCGUAAGUUUAGUGGGCUUAGCUUGUGGGUUGCAGUAGAUAAAUUCGGGAAGCCUAGUGAACCAAAAACUGGUUAGUUAUUCAAUAAUUGAGGCAAAUUUCGGUGCACAAAUCGAACAGGAUUUUAAAAAUAUAUAUCAGUUUAUGACAAAAUAUUAACUAAAUGAGGAGUAUAUAACAGUUCAGUCCAAAUAUUAUAUGGCAUGUGAGCAUGGAGUAGGAGAGUUCAAAUCAUGUUUGUCGAAUGCUAACGUUUCCUCUAUGUUGUGCAAUUAUUUUGCGGUGUGUUGCAACAAGACUAAAUGAUGGACCUCUUCAUGUGAAAAUACAGAUUGAAAUCUUCUAUUCACAAAUUCACCUUCAUGGUCACUUUGGAAAUCAUGAAUAUUUAGUAUCAAAAAUACUAUAUUGUAGAAAAUUAAAAAUUUUUAAUUUUUCAUGCACUUUAUAUUUCUUAUAGCAAGAUCCAAGAAAAUUUUCAAACAUAAUUAAUGAAAAUGACAAAUUAUUUGAAUCCAGAAUGAGAUAAGAUUAAAAACAUAACACGAAUAAAAGGUUGAUAGAUUUGUGGUACAUAGGCAUAUAGAUAAAGCAGUUACAAAUAAAUUUUGCUCUAAGGUAAGGAUUAAAGUGAAACUGUGACUAAAGUUUGAAACCUUAAAUGGUCAACUUAAAAGCUAACCAACCAAAAUAAAAGUUGAUUAAAAAAAAAGACUAAAAGUUCAAGGGCUAGUGGUGAAAUUUAUCCAAUUCUUUAACCUGUAGUAUCUCCAUUUGAGAACACUCCAGGGCAUUCUUUGGGGUACAUCAACCAAAAUUGGAUUCAUAUCAUUUCUUGCGUCAAAGCUGCUGUUCCUGCAAUCUCGCACAGUAUCCAAACUAACCCAAAACUAUAAUCCUUGUUUCUUCUCUUUCACCACUCGACACUUGUCCGCUAUAUUCCUCUCUCUCUUCCUCUCUUCUCUCUGUUGAUUGUAAUCCUCGUUUGUUCUCUCUAGCUUUAUCUCUCCCGACAUAUCCUAUUAUCCUUUCUCUCUCCUCCACGAGCUAGUUAUCUGUAAAGUGGAUGUUGAUCUCUAACUAUUAAUUUCUAAUUAUAGUAAAAAUGUUGAAGGAAAGGAGGAGGAGGUGGUGCUCCAACCUUGCCACCAUUGAUUCUUCAACUUCUCCCCCUUUAUUGUAAAGAGAGAGAGUGCUUUUUUUUUUCUUUUUAUUUUUGUAUGUUUGCAUGCAUGUGCUGUGGGCAGAGAGGAGGGUUGAUGCUUAAUGUUAUAAAUAUAAAAUCAAAUGUGAUAGAUGUGAUCUACACCAUCUAAAGAUAGUGUAAUUGGUCAAAAUUAUCAGCCCAAGCCCUGGUAGAACAUGUAGAACCAUGCUGAAAAUAGCGAGGAAACCUUUUUUAAGGUUUGCAAGUGAAGCUUUGAGCCUUUCACUGCAUUAGACUUGUUGAUACUUGAUCAAGAAAAAGUGAUUUGAGCACUCUUGCUUGGAAUCAGACUUCCAUCUUUUCCCAACCCCUAUCUCCAAUGCUUCACGAGAAAUAGAAGCAGUAGAUUGACUCAUUAUAGUUUGAAGGGGAUCAAACAAGAGAGUAUGAUUGAUCUGUAAGAAUACUAUGAUUUAGAAAAGUGAAUCGGACUGACCGGUCAAACUGGGUUAAUGGGGAAUCGAUUUGACAGCUGGUUUAGUUCAAUUUUAAGAACCUAUUUUAGCAUAUAACCAAAUCAAACAGGUCCAAACCACUUGAAUUGGCCGGUUAACUACAAACCUGUUGGUUCAAGCAACCUGGUUUGGUAUAUGGUUAAGAAUAAAAAUUUUAUUUGUUUCAAGGAAGGUUCGAACCUGCAUCCAAACCAAAGGCAAUUAAUAGAUUAACUACUGGACUAAGAAACUACCGGACUAAGAUAUGCUUUCUUAUAACAAGUGGAAAUUCUAUAUAACAUAUUAAUCGAGUUAAUUUUGUUAGAAAAUAUAUUUGUAAUCAUAUUAUAUAUUUAUUUGUUUAUUUACAUGUAUUAUUUAUUUAUUUUUAUAUUUAUAUAUUUUUAUAUUUUGACCCUACUUCAACGUCGGUUAUCAGUUUGAUGGCCGGUUCGGUUCUCAAAACAUUGAUAAAUACAAUCAAAUUAAUGGCAAGCCUUUGGUUACUAAUUCGCAAAACACCUUCAUAUUUUGAAUUGGAACAUGCGAUUUGAUUCAUAGAUGUUAUGACAAAAGCAGAAAAGAUCUAGUUAGUAGGGCACGAAAAUAUUAAAAGAGAAUCGAGAAAGAGAAGGAAAAUAAAGCAUACAAAUAUUUACGUAGUUCGGCCGCUAGGCUCUCUGUCCGUAGGCUACGAUGGUGCGAAGAAUUUCAUUAUAAUCAAAGCGGAGUACAUAAAACGUCUCUCUCACAAACUUUAGCCCCAAAAUGCACCCCAUAUUCUUGCCCAUACGCCGGGCCAAAUCGGGAGAAUAAAGUGUAUAUUUAUAUUAGAAAAAAAAAAAAACCCAAUAAGACUAUAAAUAAUUUCAAUAAGAUUAAGCAUAAUUUAAACUUAAUGGGGUAACCAAAACAAAAUAGGGGCAAAUCUUGCGGUUCAAAAAUUCGAGACAUAUCUAACAAUCUUUACCUUGCUUGAAUUCUCCGUUUUCUCCACCAAAAGUCCCAAAGGCUCCUUAAAUGCUGCUGCACAUUUAAACCAAGCCUGUGGAAUAUUAACUUUGGUCAUCAAAAUAGGCUUAAUAAGCAAACUGGCAGUUCUAAAGUGUCAAUCUUUUCAUUUUCCAGUAAUGCUUCUUGCAAUAUCUGUUGCAUUAGAAUGAUAUCUUGUCGAAGAGCGAAACUACUGAAUCGAUCAAGCAUCUCGGUCUCAAAUUUUGUCAACAUCUUGAAUACCCAAACGAAACGGUUGGCUUCGAUACCGGUUUGUUAUUACAAAACCAAAAAAGAUAUAGUUCAUCGGGCACAAAAAUACCAAAAGAGAAUCGAAAAAAGAGAAGAAAAAUAAAAUACACAAAUAUUUACGUGGUUAGACCACUCCCCUACGCCCAAGCGAAGAUGCAGCAGAGACUUUCAUUAUAAUCGAAGUGGAGUACAAAGAUGCCUUCCUCACAAAACCCUAGCCUCAAAAUACACUCCAUAUUCUUGCACAUCCGCCAUACCAAAUCAAUGGAAUAAAGGGUUUAUUUAUAUUAGAAACUAAAGCCCAGUAAGACUAGGAAUAAUUUCAAUAAGACUAGGCAUGAUCUAAACUUUAAUGGGAUAACCAAAACAGAAUAAGAUUAGGAAACCUUGUGGUUCCAGAAUUUGAGACAUAUCUAACUAAAGAUCAUGAGUGAAUUGGAACGGCAAAAUGAGCAAUCCCAUGCUAACCUGUUUACUCUAUUCCGGAACCAUAUCGAGAGCAAUAUAUACACUUAUAUUUAUGUAUAUUCAUGUAUAUGUAUGCAUAUGUUUUGUGUGUAUCAAAUGCAUGUUUUCUAUUCCUAUAAAUGCAUGUCAAUGUAGACUACACCCAUUGUACCAUGUUUUAGAGUAAUGAAGAAGACAUCGUCAUAGCACUCAGGAAAGAAGGUUUUAUAGCCUGUGCUGUGAUACCAUAAUGAUCGUGAGAAGCUUAUCUAGUUUGGGUGGUGUAAUAUUAAUAGUUGAAUAAAUUAUUCAAAGUAGAUACAAGACUAAUUAUUAAUGAGUUCUAGGUGUACAAAGGCAAUCAAUACACUAGCACAUUUAGCACCAAUAUUUGGGACAUGGAAUGAAGCUCUAUAUUCGGAUGGAAGAAAUCAUGAAUGAGAGAAAGUAUAUUAACAAAACGCCUAUAAGUGAAGAAGCCAAUAGGGAACUAAAGCCCUUGUAAUGUGCACUGUGGUUGGCGCUCCGAACUGCAAAUGUGGUUGGCUAAUCUCAUAUGCAGUGAUUUAAAACCCCAAACCAUUUACUAUCCUGAAAUAUUGCUGGGUCACAAGUCACGGGUCAAUGGUCAUUGGUUCAACUAGUGGUUCAGCUACUGGAUUGAAUGAUGUCAGCAUGACAUUAUAAAUAUUUAAUUAUUAUUUUUUCAUACUAGAUAUAUAAAAAAUAUACUAAGUAUAGUAUUCUGUAUUAUUUUAAAAUAUUAUUGUAUUAUAUAUAAUUAAAAAUGUAUCCAAAGUGUAGAUUAUUAAAAAAACUAAUGCAUGUUUUUAAUUAAUUAUUGAAAUAAAAAUAAAAAGAAACCCAGCUAGUUUUUGUAAAAUUGGGCCAGUUCACUGGUUGAGCCACUGGUCUGAACAGGUCUAAAUGGAUUUUAAACUAGUUCAUUUUAUGGGUUGAACCAAACUAGUUGGGCACUAGGUCAUGGUCCAGCCGGUCCGACUGGCCAGGUCAACCCGGGUUUUAAAACAUUGGUCAUAUGUUGAUGUUGGGAAUACUGCAUUUUUAUUCAUUGACUUGUGAAGUCUCGUGAUAUGGAACUACCUAAGAAAUUGGAUUUGCUGCUGAUCUAUAUCUGAGAGAUAAAGCAGUCUCUCUCUAGGGAAAUUCUGCAUUUGCAUAUUUAGCAAAAAUCUAAGAUAGUUGCAUAGGUUUUUGAGUUAUUUGUUAGGGCUAAGCUUUUUGCUUGGUUCUACUUGAGAACACCUUGAUUUUGCAGAACAUCAUAAUCCCAUGCUUCUGUAGUUAAAUUUUACAUCUCCUUAGUAGCCUUCCUUACUUCUACCUCUGAAUGAAACUAUUUAUGCCUUCUUUUCAGGACACCUUUGACAUUGAUUUGCUGUGGGAAAUGCAGCUUCCAUGGUGAAUAAAGUUUCCUGCAACGAGGAUAUGCUAGAUUCGGCAUUCCAGCCACUCACAUCAGAGACUCUGAUCGAGGCAAUUCUCAUACUUACAUCUAUGGCUAGAAUUUUGUUUAAAUUUUUAUUUUGUUAUUUGAGUUUCUUUUUUUAUUAUGAUGAUGUGCAGGUUACAAUUGAAAUUCCAUUUGCAUUUCGAGCAAUACCAGUGGAAGUGAUUGAAUCAACUGGUAGGCAGGUCCUUGAGCAGCUAUUGAGAAUAAUGCUUCCGCGAUUUCUUAAGCAGGUAAUAUCAAGUUUCUUUACUACAGGCUCAAGUAUAUACUUUGCUUUUAAAUGAAAGCAGAACAUUGUGCAACACAGGCUAUAAAUGGAGCCAUUGAUUCCAUAUAUCAAACUCUUUAUCACAAGAAAGGGAGAAAAUUAAAUAAUGUUAAAUUUGUGGUUUACUCGGAAACUAUUCUUGGAGUAUCUGUGGUUGUUUAAAUUUUGUGAGUAGUAUGAAGUACCUUUCUUGUUAUCAGCAGGACCAGAUAUACUCAAAUAAGAAAAUAAAUGUUAUCAUGUAAAGUGCUGAGGUUACCGAGAUGAGGCCACCUAGAUAAAUUACUUUUUGGGGUAUCAAUAACUAACGGCAUAACACCCUGUAAUAACUUCCAAACUGCACCUUGGUCAGCAGAAUCUUUUUUUUUUCUUUAAAUUUUCUUUAAAUUUUUUUUCUUUCAUGUUCAUGUUUGUUGACCCUGUCUUCCUUUUUAUAUAUAGUGUAUUUUGUUUUCAUCCACGACCCACUGCAGUCGGGUUUUUGUUGUGACUGCUUUCUUGGCUUUUGUUGCAUGUUAACCACACGAAAAUAGUAAUUUCACUGUGGAAACCAACAAACAGGGUUGUUUCUGUUAAGUUGGUUACUAGGCAAGGGCGGUCACUUAUCUCUCUAGCUAUGAUGUUCAAAUUUUGGAAUUGGGCACCAUAGCAUACUUGUUUAAAUUAAACAGAAAACUACUCAAAAUCUCAUCGAAUGCACGAUGUGCGUCAAUGUUUUCUAAUUCAACUCCUGUGCUAGAGACCUGUAUAUAUGUUCCUUCCAAGAAAAAAGUUCACGGUUUAUUUUUUCUAGGAGUGAUUGUAGGCAGGAUUCCCUUGACUAUGUGCAUCCUGCAUUGUAAAUUUUAUGGUGAUGUACAUCAUUGAACUCUCUUCGAAAUCCUGAGCUAUGUUUUGCUCUUAUGUAACCAAAAUCUUUUCUGUUCUUAUUAGAGCCACAAAGUAUCGUUGUGGUAGCCAAACCACUUAGACAUAUUCUGUAGAUAAGACAUUUGAAUUUGACUCUGCAUGUGGGAAUAUUCGGAGCAUUUUUGUCGGUGCUCUUUAAAUUACGUUCUUUGUUUCAGCUAGUAAAGGACUACCAAGCAUGGGCUUCGGGUGAUACCUCGAGGCAGCCACUCGGCACCGGUGAAAUUUGAAGCAAAAGGCGCUCAGAGAACUCUGCUCUGUAAGCCUCCACCUCUGCUCCUGGUUUCUUUGACUUUGUUAAAUUAUUCAUGUUUAUGUUAAUUAUGUAGUGCUCAGGUAUUUGCUUCUUAAGUAGUGUACAACAAAAACUGAAAUUUGAUGAACAAUUUGUAUUCCUAUGUUCGUCUUCUUUUUCUUCAUUUUUCUUUUUUUCCUGUAUGAACAGUUUUUAGAAUCUCAGGAAUCAAAGCUAUGGUGAUUGUCAUCUACUUGUAAUUCGAAUUAGCCAUAUAAAAAUUGUCAUCCACUAGUAAUCAAACCUAUGAAAAUUGAAUUGGUUAUCACAUAACAAAAUUAUUUUGUGUGGUACAUUGUUCUCAUUUUGAAAAUUGUUAUUAUCAAUGCCAUUUAAAUCUUUUUUUAUCAUAUUUUGAACUUUAAGCCACAUAUAGAAUCUUUCCUGUAACUAAAUGUUGAAGAUUCUCUUUAUUCAUAUGGGCUAUGUUUCUCAUUAAUUCAGUAUUUGUUUGUCUCUUUUUCUUUGCACCUUACUAUAUGUAAAAUAACGCCUGUUUUGUGAUUAUGUCAUGUACACCGCUUGUGGUUUUUUUUUUUUUUUUUUGUAUAAUUUUCUGGGAAAAAUGUACAAACACGCCUAAACUUUAGCUCUUUUACAAAAAUAUGCAUUUGAACUUUCAAUUUUGAUAAUUACUUUCUCUGAGCUUUAUCAAAUAGUUUAAUAGGUUACUCUCCUCCAUCGAAAUUAUUAUUAGACUGCUGCUUUUAUACAUUAGAAUAGUUUAUGUUUUGAAUUUUAUAAGAUUAUGUGUAAGAUAUACAAUCAAAGCGGUUGUAUUAUUAAAAAUUUCAAUGAAAAUUGAACUAUAUAAUAAAAUUUAGUUGCUAAAAUUAAAGUUCAAAUAUUUAUUUACAAAAGAACUUAGCGGUUCUCUAUCACAUUUUGUCGGAUCGUUGACGCUAGCUAUUAAUCUCAAAAGCUCAAGCUGUUAGAAAUAUACAAUAAAUUCACUUAAAGUGUACAGAUACAGCGUCCAUGAGUCUCAAUUGUGAUUCGGUCGAACCGGCUUCAGGCCACUUUGAUGAUGACUCUGCCCAUUUAGCCUCACACCAUUUUGAACAUGAUUCGGUCUAACAUGACCUCCUGUCACAGGGCAGAAUGCUGGCUUAUUUAAGCCAACAUAUUUUCUAUUUCUUUUCUUUUUUUUUGGGAGGGGUUUUGUCGGCAUGAAUGGCACGUGGAUAAUUAGAAUAAGUAAUUAAUAUCUGUAUUCAGUGUAUCCGUACAUAUCGUGCACUACUUUUUCUUUCCCAUAAGAGAAAAAAAAUAUUGUAGGGCGAAAAAAAAAAGNAUCCAAACUAUAAACCCACGCGGCCACCAAUAUAAAACCGAACAGCAUAAGCAUCACGUCAACCGAUUUUCCCAUCAGAAAACCAUUAAAAAAAGCGAUCCAAGAACAGGAAAAAUAGAAGCGAUCUAUUACCAACAAAUCCCCCCGCCUCCAAAUCACUGUAUAGCGAUCAAAUCCCUCCACACAGAGGGAGAAACCGAAUCAGCGAAAUCGGUUCUGCUACCCCGAAACCGAUUACGCGUCGCGGGAACGGUUUAAAAAUGGGGGGUUUCGAAGGGAAAGAGCAGGGUUUCGAUGGAGCGGCCCCUUCGAUCCCCCAAAACACGAUCGCGAACUUUAGAACACCUAAAAGAAAAAAUUGCAACAAUUGAUUCCCGUGUGAUAUCAACCUAGGAUUUUUUUUUUUUUUUUUUUUUUUUUUUUUGGGGGGGGGGGGGGGGGGUUGGAAGAAAGUGGACAAAGUUGUCAUUCUACGGUUUGAGGGUUAACGUGAUCUGGACGUGAGAAGUGGGCAUUGUUAGCUAAAGUUCCUUUUUGAAGUUAAAAGAGAUCAUUUGGGGGACUGAAUCAUAAGAUUGUGAAAAUAUACUAGUCAACGAAAUUGUAGAUUGUUGACAAAUAGAAAGGAGGUGAUACUGAAACGUGCAGGUGGAGGCGCUUGGAAUCAUAGUUGUCCAAUCUGAUUGUUGAUCACCAAUUUUCCUCCGACACCUCUCAUUUCCGAAAGUUCCCUCUGACGGAAGGUGCACUAACAAAAUAGAAAUAAAAAAAGCUCUGUACUCAGAUCUCGGAAUGUCAAUGAGCCGAACACGAGCAAGUUGGAAUUAGUUCAUGUUCGUGUUCGUUUGUUUAUUAAAUGAGACUAAUUAAUAUGAGUUAGCUCGUUAAAAUAUUGAGUUGAAAAAUUCAGCGCGUAUUCGGCUCAUUAAUAAUACGAGAUGGCUCGCGAACAGCAAUGCGAUUCAGCUGCAUUUGUUCCAGUGCUUUAAUUUAAUGGUAGUGUGGGGUGUAGGCUAGAAGCUUCUGUAUUUGGAGGAAAAACUUUUAUUAAUAAACAGCUGGUGUUGUAUAGGGAGGGUCAAUACAGUGGUCCGGGGUUUGAUCCUCGGGUGUGCGUUUUUUCGGAAAUUUAGUUCCCAACCUUCCUUCGGGCUGGGAGAUUUUUUUUGCGUGUGUGUAGGGUAAGGGUGAAAACCGUCGGAAAUGGUUAGAUUUUAAUAAAAUUAUAUUCACGUCCAUAUUUUUCUUCAGAAAUGGAUAUAUGUUAUAUGCUAAAUUUUUAUUAUCAUAUUCGUUUGUUGGUUGCCGAUUGUCCCGACCCUUGACUCAAUCAAAGAUCUUUCUCGGAAAGUGCGUCGGGGUGAGGAACGGCUGCGGAUAGUGACCCUCGAAGUUUGCGCUUUCGACAGAUCAAGCGAUUCGGCUGACGAGGGAUCGAGCCAGCUGGGUCCGAAAAUUUUCACUGUAGAAUCGGUUUGGCUGGAGGAGCCUAAUAUAUGAACUGUGCAGGGAUCAAUGUUGGCAGAAGAGCCGAAUGGAAGAAGUACAGUAUAACUGGUCAGCUGAAAGAGCCGAAUAAAUAAAAUACACAAUGACUGGUCGGCUGAAAGAGCCGAAUGCCUAAAUAUAUAUAUAUAUAUAUAUAUUAAUAAAACAGAGUGUACCCGAAGGGCAUACAGACUCUGCAAAUAUGUAGUUUACAACAGAGUGAUGCUCGUGGGGCAGAUAGACUCUGCAAAUGUAGUCUACAACGGAGUGAUGUCCGUGGGGCAGACAGACUCCAUGGUUCUACUUAGCGAACUACUCCUAGGAAAGCAGUAAAUGCGGAAAAGAAAAAGAUUAUAUUUAGACUACUCAUAGAAAAGCGAUAAAAUUGCGAGGAAAUAAGGGUGAUCUUUUGUUCACGGGGAAAAGACUCUUAUUACAGGCUUUGAAGUUACUAUUUAUAGUGAUGUCUUCUCAGCCCACAUUAUUGGUCGGUUGAAAAUAGUGGGGGGAGUGGUUGUAACCAUGAUCGUGGAAGUUACGCCCACUCCUCAUGGAAGUUACGCUCCAUUGUGGAAGUUAUGCCCACUUCUCAACCGUUCCCGCCUAAAACCUUCAGGCGCCUUAUUGCCGACUCCUGGUGUACCACAUGUCCUUAUUGGCUCAUAUGUGGAUUAGGUCGCUAUGUUAAUUUCAAUUUUGGCAUCAACACCGUUAAAAGUAUAUAUAUAUAUAAAAUUGAGCUUCUAUGUUUUUAAAAGUACCAAGUUAUUGGUGUUUAUAAAUUUUUGACCAUUAGAUUAAGAAAUGUGCGAUUAGAAUGAUGUGGGACCCCUAGGGUUGAGUGAGUGGUUGGUUGAAUACUAUAAUCUAACGUUUUGCUAUCAAGUUAUGAGUACCAAGUUCUACUGUUUGCAAAUAUAUCCCUGCCGUUAGAAUCCGUUAGAAAAGUUUAGUUGACCAUAUGUUAAAUAUUUUAUCCGGAUUAAUUUUUGACAUUUUUACCCCUCUUAUAUUAUUAUACUAUUAUAACUUUUGGAGGGAUAUAUUUGUGAUAUUAAAAUUGAAAAUAUAAAUAAUUUUCUAACGGUUCUCUAACUGUAACUGACCAAAGGGACAUAUCUGAAAAUAUUAGGACUUUUGUAGGAAUAACUUAUGAAAGUUAAACUUUAUACAGAUAUAUUUGUAAUUCACUAUGUUUGCGGGAACCUGUAUGCAAUUAACCCUAUAUAUAUAUAUAUAUAUAUAUAUACGGAGCCCUCCGUGCUUCCAUAAGUAUCCUAGCAGCACUACUCUUCUCUCUCUCUCCUCUCUCUCUCCUCUCCUCUCUCUCUCUACUAUAUAUAUUAUAUAUAGAUAUAUAAAUAUAGCAGGAAAGGAGACGUAUCGUGUUCAAUAUUCAUAUAUUUAUAUUUUUAUUCAAUAGAAGAGAUAUUUAACAAUAGAGUUCAGUGCAAUUUUAACAUGAAACAUAUAUGAAUCAAGAAAAAUCAUACAGUAGAAAAUCACAUUAAAUCCUCUCUUACCAAUAUAAAUUAAAUUCCCUCUUUUAUUUCCUAAGACUGAAAAUAAUUGAAUACAGCGUUGAACAUUUUUUAAGAAAAUAUUUGCAUUCGAUAUAUAGUAGUACUAAUUAUUAAAUAGCUAUAUACUAAAGGUUUUCCGAUGCAAAAUCGAUAUGAAUAUACACUACGAUUGCGAAAUUUGACAUCCAUUAUUGAAUCAUAUCGAAUCAAUAUCGAAUUCGAUUGGAGUUUAUCCUCCACAGUACUAGCUUCCACCCCUGGUGUAAGGCUGGCAAAUUGAGCGAUCGGCUCGAUUCGACUCCGCUCACUCGAUAUUUGCUCGCUCCGAGCAUAUCGACUCGAAAUUAAAUCAGCCGAUCGCUUUAACAAAAAAAAAGGUCGAAAUUCAUUUCAUGACGGCGUGAGUCUCGAGUAUACCGGACUCAUCAUCGAAUUAGGUCUUGAAACUCGAAAACUCGAAAUAUAUAUACUAUAUAUAGUAUAUAUAAGUACAAUAUAUACGGUAAUAAUAAGUGAUAAAUAUAUAUAGGGAGGAUAUCAUACACUAAGUAAAAACAGAGAUGCUACGCCAGGAAAGUAUAGAGAACUGGUGCUUUCAAUUUUGAUUCUCUAACAACAUCCCCUUAAUUAUUUUUUUUGAAUUAAUACUAUCUAUUAUCUUGUAAGAGGACCGCACUCAAUCCCUAGGGAUAUUAUUUAUCAGAGGGACCGCCAUCAUAACCCAGACCAUAAAUAAUUCUUAAUCAAAUGCAAAAUAUUCGAUGAAACAUCAUCCUCUAUUAUUUUCGAUAGCAUGAUAGUUCUACAACUAUAUAUAUAUAUAUUAUAUAAAGUAUAUAUAUAUAUAUAAUAGUAUAUAUAAUAUAUAUACUAAUAAUAUAUAUAAAUGUUAAUCUAAGUAUUAUAUCGAGGCUGAUUAAUAAAUCUAAGUUGUAGAAAUAAAAUGCCAUAUUAUUGCUCCAUAGGAAAAACAAACCGCACAUAACAAAGCUAACGAACAGCAAAGACUUUCACGUAUAAUUAGACAUUUUUUCCUUUCUUUCCUUUCUUUCACAGAACUCUAAAAUUUCAAUAUAUUUUCUCUCUAUUCUCUUUUUCCGCUCUCACCCUAAGCGGCCACAGCCGGAACUCUCAACAAGUUACGCAAGUAAAGUAUAUCUCCGUUGCCUACCUUGCUAUUAAUUGUAUGCUUGAGAAAAUAUACAGAAUAUUUUUAAAGUAAAAAAUUAUUAUUCAUAUAAAAUUUUAAUUUUUGUUAUAUAUGAUUGGAUAGUUUAAUCCAAUAUUUAUCUAUAUAAUUUAUUUAUUUUUGACUGUAUAAAUGAAAAUGAAUAAUAUGAAGAUUGAAGGCAGAAGAAAAGACAUGUGAGGCUGAAAAGAUUAGAUAUUCAACUCAUAAAUUAUUUUUUUCAUAUUAUAAUACUGUAUUUUAUAUAAUUAUUUUGUACUUUGAACUAUUAGAUAUAUUUUUGUAUCAAAUUAUAAAUAAUGUUCUAUACAAAUUAAACUAUUGAUCGUAUGAUGUUGAGAAUUUCAAGCGGCUCGUUUAGGGCUCGAGCUCGCUCGACUCGAAAUUAGGCUCGCUCGAGCUCGGCUCGAAUUAAUUUCAGUCUAAGCUUGAGCUUAAAUUUAAGCUCGAAAUUAAUUUCAAGCCGAAUUUGAGCCGAGGUAAGCUCGCUCGAGCUCGGCUUGUUUCCACCCCUACAAGUGUGGGGUGUGGUAGGUGGCGGUUCGGAAGAUGUAACUCUUUCACUUUAUAGAUUGAAUUUCAAAAAAAAUCAGUAAAUUAUCCACUUUGUUCUUAUUUUAGAAAUAAAUAUAAUUAAAAAUACGAAUCAACUGGAGAACAAAUUUUUUCCUUGAACUUUAGCCACUUUCUCAAUUACUCUCUAGAAUUAAAAAUUACAUCAAUUACUAUCCUAUAUUUUGCUACCAUAUCAAAUAAAUCUAAAAUUUUAAAAAAUGGAUAAAUUAGGUUCUAAUAUUUCACUAAAAGGAGUUAGUAUAUCACAUUAUUCCAUAUUUCAACGUCUAUUUAAUUUAUAAUUUAAAAAAUAAAUAAAAAAAGAUAAAUUAGAUAUCUUAUUUUAUUAAUAUUAUCAAAAUUGAUAGGUUAUUGAGCAAUUUAUUCAAUUUAUAUAAUUCUAUACUGAUAAGUUACUUAUCUCCACAUCUUUUUUAAUAAAAUUUUAUAGCUAUGAUCCUAAAUAGUCGGAUCUAUUUAAGAUAAUGGUAAAGUAUAAGGGAGUGAUUGAUGUAAAUUUUAAUUUACGAGGAUAAUUAAGAGUAGUAGUGAAGUACAAAGAGCUUUUUACUAGGUUUUUUUUUUAUUUUUUUUUAUUUUUAAGAACUUUUCUUUAGGGGCCAUCAUGCACGACAUAAACUCUAGUAUAUUUUGUUUCUUCGUAACUAAUUUUUCGAUUGAAAAUAGCGCUAUAUUUCAAUUAUAUUAAAUCUAAAUUUUUAAAAUAUAAAUUCAAAACCAUGUUUUAAAUAAUUUGAAAGCUUCCUCUCAUAUGAAAAUGACAAGUUAUUUGUGGAUGGAGAAGAAAGGUAGAGAGAAAAAAGAAAACAAAGAGAAAAGAGAGAUUUAGAUCAUAUAAUGAAAAUAAGUUUACUUAAAUAUUCACGUAUUAAAACUCCACGAAAUUCCUCUUUGGAGUACUUGGUAACCGAUACUUCUUUCAGUUUGACCUGCUAUUGCAGAUCAUAGCAGGUCACAACUUAAAAAAAAAUUAAAUUUGAGCCGUAGAGUAGAAACAAAUGAACGACAUUAAAAAAUAACAAGUAUAGAGCAUUACUCUUUAAAAUAAAGCUUGCUCAAAAAGUCAGGAAGUGCUGGUGUAAUUUAUCUGAAAAUAUAUAUAUAAUGAAAAGUAUAGAAAACCAAACCGAGCCUGGUUACUAUGGAAUUUAUUUUAACGACCGAUUUGGUUUAGUGCUAAAAAUGUGUUACAUGGUAUAACCAGAUCGAAUCAGUUUGAACAAUCUGAACCAACUAGUUUAUAACGAAUCACUAAAUUGGGCAAUUCAAGCCUCUUUGAUACAUGAUAUAAAAAGUGUAAAAGCAAGAGACAUUUAUUAUCGGUGUGACGAUGAAGCCAAAAUACUUACCCAACUGCGUGUAUGGAAUAAUUCUAUGUAAUAUACUUAAAUAAGUUUAAAUUAUUUUAAAAAAUAUAUUUCUAAAACUUCGACUAUCUUAGUUAUACUGCAUGUACACCCCGCGUACAUACGGUAUAAAUGUCACACCCUUGGAAUCCUAGAAUUUGAAAUAAUAUUAAAAUUUUAGAGUAAAAAAUAAUAAUAAGAUUAGUAAAGAAAUUUAAUUUCAUCGUGAAAAAAUUAGAAACAUCUGAAGUGUAAAGAUAGCACAGGUGUAUAGAUAGCGUUUGAAGGGUGAUGAAAGAUCACGCAUAGCAUAAGUGUACGGAGAGCACUUUUAUUAUUAUUAUUAUUAUUAUUAUUAUUAUUAUUAAAAUAACUGGGAAAAUUUAAAAAAAAAGGAAAAACUUAAAAAAAUCUCCCUGUAGUUUCGCAGUUUCUCACUUGAUCACUUUGUGGUUUAAAGUGUAUCAAUUUGGUGCCAUGUGGUUUUAUUUUUAUCUUUUCGGUAGCUUUUUUAUUAAUAUUUCGUUAAAUUAUAUACAAAAAACUUUAAAUACCUAUCUAGAUUUAUUGAAUAUUCACUUUAGUAUCUUUUAAUUUUAACUUUGUCACUGAUUUAAGAAAAAAAAAAUUAUAAAAUUGAUAAUAAAAAGAAAAAAAUAAAAUCAUAUGAUACUAAAUUAAUAUAUUUUAAAUUACAGGGUAUUAAAGUGAGAAAGUACGAAACUACUGAGAGGUUUUUGAAGUUUUUUAAAAAAAAAAAGAAAAAAGAAAAGACCAGAAGCAUCCGGAGAUCGAGCAUCCCAAUGAGGAUAUCCGAAGAUUCCCAACUUUAUCAACAGAAAAAUUAGGGGGAAAAAAAGAAAAAGAGAAAAGCGAGUGAAAACAGUGAAAGUUGGUGGCAUUGAAGCGGUGGUGCUCGCCGCAUAUCCGCAGAAGAUGCCGACUCUUUUCCUCUUUCUCCCUUGGAAUUGUUAUGAUGACACCACGAAAAGCUCAAAAAAGAAGGUGACCUCCCCACGACCCCGAAGAGCCACUCCUCCCAAAGAGUAAAGUGCUAGUCGGCAUGGAUCGUAUCCACGUGUCGUAUCGUAUCAGCAAAAUAUUACUACGAUAUAAUUUUUAUACCGAUGACACAAUUCAAAAUUUUCUAUCCUUAAAAUUAAUAAAUAAAUUUUUUUAAUAAAGUUUAAAAUAUUUGAUAACAAUAUAUAAUGAAUAGUUGGCAUAUUUUGCUUCUAAAAAAAAUAAAUAUUUUAUAUUAUUACGUGUCGGCACAUAUAUAUUUUUUGUGACCGAUAUGGAUCGGCACGGUUCGGCACACAAUGUGUCGUACCAUACCGAUGAGUUUCCGACACGACGUCCGUGGCAUGGCACUUAAAUUCUUACUACCACCAUCACGCAAAUUAGGUAAAAAACGUACGAAGGCCCCCUCAACUAAGGGGCAUAUUUGUAAUGCAUAGGAGGCUUUGUUUGUGAUUGUGAAAAUAUUACAUUACAUCUGAAAAACAGUAUGAUGAAAAAUAUUAUUUUACCUUUUUUAUAAAAAAAAAUAUGCUGUGUAUAAUACAACGGUUUGAUUAUAAUAUAAUUUAUUGAAAAACGUAGAAGUGUAACUCUAUAUAACUCUCAACACCUAAUGAAGCUGGAGACUUUUUCAACUUUUAUUUUUAUCCAAAUUAUUACGAAAUAUAAAUUUUAUUAAAUCUAAUAUAUCUAUUAGGUCCUAGCUGAAUGUAUUAAUAUUUUAUUUGGAAUAUUUCAUUGAUUUUCUCAAAAUACAUGUAGUAGAUUUGAUAAGCUAGGAGUGUGAUUUAAUAUCUAAAUGACUUGCCAUAUUCAGAAAAGAAGCAAUUCUGAAAUGUGGUAUUCACACCGUGUGCACCGUAAUACUCAAAAAAAAAUUAUUUUAACUUUUAAAAUUUAGAUUUUAAAAUUUAGGAUUUUAGAAUUUAGAAUCUAAGGUUUAUGGUUCAGUGUUUAGAAUUUAGGAAUUUAGAGUUUGGAGUUUUGGAGUGGUGCACUAAAUCUAAAAAUAGAAAAUAAAAUAAAAUCCUAAAAUUCUAAACUUUAAAAACUCUAACUCUAAAAGCUAAACCCAAAAAAAAUUUAAAAAAAAUUAUGAGUAUAUAUGAUGCAUUUUGGUACCAAAUAAUAAUCUUUAUUGAAUUUUGGGAGAGUAGUGCGCGCUCACGUGGACUUGGCUGUGGUGUGGUGUCCAUUAGGGAGGCAACCCCAAAUGGAUAUCUUGGGGUUAUUUUUUUAAGAAAUUUUGGUCAGUCGUAAUUUGACUUCAAAUUAUUUUUUAAUAAAAAAUAGAUUAUUUUAGAGGUGAAAUAUUUUUUCUAAUAUCAAGCAUCUUUUGAGAAAUAAAAAAAUAAAUUCUUAGCCUCGAGUCACACUAAAAUUUUUUUACACCGCAUAAACUAUUAAAUAAAAUUUCAUCAGACUAAUAUCACUAUAUUCUAAAAAGUUUUUUUUUUUUAAAAAAGAAAAGUUCAAAUACCAUCCUAUGGUUUCAUAUUUUUUUUCUUUAGUAUCCUAUAGUUUAAAGUGUAUUAAUUUAGUACCAUAUAGUUUCACACUUUUUUACUUUAGUACUCUGUGGUUUAAAGUGCAUCAAUUUAGCACCCUGUGAUUUCUUCUUUUUUUUUUUUUUCGUCGGCUCCUCUGUUAAUAUUUCAUUGAAUUAUAUAUAAAAACCUUCAGAUACCCUAUCUACAUUUAUCGAAUAUUUACUUUCGUACUUUUUAUUUUUAACUUUUUGUUACUGAUUUUUUUUUUCCUCGGUCAAUAUUUCGUUAAAUUAUAUAAAAAAAAUUUCAGAUACCUACCUAAGUUUAUCGAAUAUUCACUUUUGUACCCUUUAAUUUUAACUUUGUCGCUGAUUUAACGAAAAAAAUUAGUGAAAUAGAUAAAAAAAAGAGAAAAAUAAAACCACAGGGUACUAACUUGAUACGUACUUUAAACCACAGGAUACUAAACUGAGAAAGUGUGAAACCACAGGGGCUAACUUGAUACACUUUAAACUACAUGGUAGUAAAGUGAGAAAAUGUGAAACCACGAUGGGGUAUUUGAAGUUUACCCAAAAAAAUUUGGAGCUGAGAGGGUCAUUUCAAAAUCACCUAUAGUUAAGGGGUUUUCUAUACAUUUUUACCUACAAAAUAAAAGCACACAAUGGGGCUCUCCCGUCUCCCUCCUCUUAAUGCCCACAUGAUGUUCAUAAAAACUUGGGCAUAUGUUUUCCCCACCUCCUCCCAUUUCACAGGAAAAGAAGAGAGAGAGAGAGAGAGAGAGAGAGAGAGAGGUGGUAUCAUGUAGUUUGUCCUUUUGCUUCUGCUAAUUGCCUACAAUUGCAGUCUGGAGAAAUGGCAUAGUAAUGGUAUGAUGAGUUAAGAAAGGAGAAGCAGAAGCACUUCUGGUAGGGCAACUUGGAUCCUUUGGCAUUUCUGGCUUCCUGCAUAUACUGAAGAAGAUAUAUACAUAUAUAUAUAUAUGGUUCAUAUAUGGGCUAUUCAUACAGGAAGUUCAUGCAACAUAUUCUGUACUCUGUGUGUGGGCUUUUGUACUUAUGCUUCUUCUUCUGCUCCUUUGUUGCCUUCAAAUUAAUAAGAAUGUAGCUUUGUUGGAAGCUGUUAUAUAUUGAUAUUACUCUCUCUCUCUCUCUCUCUCUCUCUCUCUCUCUCUCUCGUUCACUCACUCACUCUCAGUGUCUAUAUUAUCAAACAAAGUUCUUGAUGCCAUAAAAAGUGUUGAGUCUUCGAUUCAAAUACUGCUUAACUGAAAAUAAUAUAUGUACGCUUUGCCUACAUGCGGUAUUAUCGUAAAAAAGAAAAAAAAAAUGUAUUUGUUGGACAAAUAAAUGAUCGUAGAGUCUCUGGUCUUGCAAUUUUGUCACGACCCGAUUCAAAAUUUCAAAGUUUAACUAAACUAUGGAUUCUAAUAUUGAAAGUUUGAUAAAGUUUGAUUGGUUUCAAAAUUAAGCCUAAAUUUAGUUCUUUUUGGACCCAAAUGAUUCUUGGUUGGGAUACCAGCUAGCUGUGAGGAUCACCGACGUUGAUCGCCUGUUGUCCCUCCGCUUCUCCCUUCUAUCUCCUCCUCUCUACUGCAAACCAUGCAUCAAGUGCCGCUUGAGCCUGAAGUUGGAGAAUCGUACGUGUUACGAGCAGUCCGUUCCUCGAUUUUCAGUAAAACCUGAGCUCAUGCUCAAACCCAGGUUUUUUGAUGUUAUAUAGACCUUGAUCUUUGGACGUUUCAGGGGGUUUAAUUAACUUGUUAGUUGAGUUUUACUUUGUCACCGUAAUUGGUAAAGUUCAAUCUCAUGCAUGCAGUCUCUGGUUACUGGUUCCACCCUUUCGAUUGACCGACAUUAAUAUUGAUAGGAACCCUAGCCUCAGGUUAAUUACCAAACACUCGAUCCCUUAUGGUCGGCCGUUCUUGAACCAAGACUCGAUCGUGGACUACAACGCAGUAAGCACUUGAAGUCUUGUUUUUGGGAUUGAUGUUAGUUGAGUUUCUUUGUUGAUAUAUUUUAGGUUCUUGAUCGAUGGAUUCCUCGAUUACUUUCGUGCCAUCUACGUGCUUUGAUAUGGACUUUGAAAAAUCGGUGAGUAGGAAUUAUCCAUCUGAAUUACACCAUUAACUUCCAUCUGAUUGUCCAUAUUUAUUUAUAUGAGUACUCUUAAGCUUGACAUCAAAUUUCUUGAAGAGAAAAGUAGAACCGGCUCCAAUAGAGCGCACCCUUUCCUCUUAUGUGUAGAAACCGAAAAUUAAAUUUCCUACAUGCCCAAAAGCGCACAACCACCGUAGAAAACAAGAAUGGAGAAAUAGAAUACUCACAAUAAUAAUCUCAAACAACUCCACAUAUAAAAUUAAACAACUUCACCAACAAUAUUCAAAACACUAUACAAUGAAAAUCGAAAAGUACUAAAUAAACCUUCAAUAAAAAACAUCUUACAAUGAAUGUUCACAAGAGAGCAGAAGGGGGAGAUUAGAGGUCACCCACCUCAAACUUAGCAAAAUCCUAACCACCUUUGGCCUCUCUUUCACACUUCUCUUGCACUUGAGAGAAACACCAAAAUGAGGAAAUUUUUGGAGCUAAAAAAAAGAAGCUCUCUUUUUCCUCUUAAC